rnacentral:lncRNA from 1 species
AACAAGAAGCCCACCAUCACGUCCAGGGAAAUCCAGACCUCUGUCCGCCUCGUCCUCCCCGGCGAGCUCGCCAAGCACGCCGUCUCCGAGGGAACCAAGGCCGUCACUAAGUUCACCUCCGCUUAGAUAGUCUGCUCCUGUCUUCUUGGUCGAUCGAUGGUAACUGUUUCAUUAUCUUGUGAAAUAGUGAUGGUGCUUCUUUGAUCUGUCUCGUGGCUCUGUACCAUUUUCAGUUCUAGUCCCUGUUGCUUCAUUUGACAGAGUUCUUGCUAUGACCCUGUUUGUGUGAGUUUAUCUUGGAGAGAUGUUUCUGAUUGCAAAUUUUGCUCCGAAUUGUAGUAAAUAUUUGCAUACAAUGACACUCAACUUGCAGAGACGUUUCUCUGUUUCGUUUAUGAAAUUCAGUUUUCAACUGUCUGUCUAUGAGUCUUGUGGCCGCGAGGCGGGGAGGCUGACUAAAUUAACACGUCCCCGAGGGCACCAAGGCCGUCACCAAGUUCACCUCCGCUUAGAUGGCCUGUUCCCUAUCGUCCUGGUGGAUUGUUGUUGCUCUGUAGGUAGCUGUUGGUACCAUGUCAUCUUGUACCUUGUGUGGGAACACACAACACACUGUUUCAUGGUCUGGAGAGACAGUAACAGUGUUGAUUUAUUCAGUCUCAUGAUUCAGCACCCUGUUUCAGUCAACUGACGAGUGUCGAUUUCUUCAGACAUAAAUCUAGGUUCACCUCCUCCUAAUUAGGCUAUGCUGUGCCCUGUCUUCUCAGAAUGUAGUUAGAUGUUCAGAAUGCAAUCAUGACAUGAGUGAUUCGGCAGAUUUGGAUUCCUUUCCUAUAUAUCCACUUGUUGGUACUUCAUCAUCCUGUAAUUUGUGGGGAGAAAAUGUUUGAGGAUCUGGAGGAAAUAGUAACGGUGUUGCUUUGAUCUGUUUCAUGCCUUUCUUAUCAUGCUCAAUCUUUACCUCUGAUUAUCUCUGUUGAUUUCAGUAAAUCAUCAGGAGGGAACAAGCGAUUCUUUAGUAAAAGUGCAUACCACUGUAGCUACUGUGGUGACAAUCUGUGCCAUAGUUCAUAUGUUCAGGAAAUCCACGACGAACAGUUCAAUUGUCCACACGAAUCAGGAGGGAAAAAGGUCGUUUCAAUCGGGCCUUAGCUACAUUCCCGGUAUCAUUUUGCUGUUGUUGCAGCACAAAGUGGAUUUUUUUUCAAAACUAUGAUAUAUUUUAUAGCAUUUUUAGAAACUAUAGCAUGAUGAUUUUCAUAAAAAUCAAAAGUAGUAGCCCAUCAGCCAUCUCUUGGUCGAAAUAGGACUUUUCGGCCACAGUUAGGUUGAAGUAGACUUUUCGGACAUCUCUUGGCCGAAAUAGGACUUUUCGGCCACACUUAGGCCGAAGUAGACUUUUCGGCCAUCUCUUGGCCGAAGUGGUGGGGUCCUGGCCGAAAAGGCACUUUUCGGUCAAGUGUAGGCCGAAAUAGACUUUUUAGUCAAGCCUAGGCCGAAAAGUACUUUUUGGUCUCAUGUAGGCCGAAGUUGCAUGGCUCAUACAUUAGGCUGAAAUGUAUUUUCUCGCCACCCGUUUCUCGCCAACCCCUUCCCGCCAUAUAUUCCCACCACCCGUUUCCCGCCAACCCCUUCUCGCCAUAUGUUCCCGCCAUAUGUUCCCGCCACCCGUUUCCCGCCAACCCCUUCGCGCCUUAUUUUCCCGCCAACCCUUUCCCGCCAUUUUCUCCUCUGUAUCUAUAAACCCCCCUUCUGGUGGAGGUGAAUAAGUAUUCCAGUGUAGUGUAGUCGAGAUGUCCCAUUAUCCAUUCGAUCGUAGUUUUCAUCCUGAGAUGAGCAGCACUUUGCUGAGUCUAGCUACCGAUUUCAGGAUGGACAAUAGGAUAGUUCCAUGGGACGAACUCACCGUUAGUGACACCAUAAUGAAUGAGUUGGCUCACGAAUUACGUAAGUCUGGGUGGCCUGAAAGGACCUAUGAGGAGGUACGUAAAGAACUUCUUAGAUUGCAUGAAAGGUGGAAGAAGGUGGUGGAGCCGAAGAGUGAAACUUUCAGAAGGACUACAGAAAAGCAUCCAUUUUUAUGGACUGAGGAGAGCCAGGACGACGAUGAUAUCUUCAUGCCGCCGCUUUCGGGUUCUACAACGUCGAAGGGCAAGAGUUCUGCAUCGUCCAAAGGCAAGAGUUCUGCAUCCUCGAAGGGCAAGAGUUCUGCAUCGACGGAGGGCAAGAGGACCGCAUCGUCGAAGGGCAAGAGGGCUGCAUCAACGGAGGAUGACGAUGAUGACUUCAUGUAGUAUGUAAGAUGUAUUCCUGUUGUACCGUUUCAUUCAUAUGUAUUUGCAUUAUUAGUUUGUAUUGUAUUAUUGUAGGGCAUUAUGUUCUAUCUGAAUUUCAUUUUGUAGUAUGUAAGAUGUAUUGCACAAGUUCAGUCGCACCGUUUAAUUCAGAUGUACUUGUAUCUUAAUUAUCGGUUGUAGUCUAUUUGGAAAUGUAACUGGAAUAAGAAUGUGAAUUAAUAGUAAUAUGUCUCUCGCAUACAUAAAACAAUAUAUGUCUCCUGAUCAGAUAGAAGCAAGUGCGAUAGUAACACAUACAUCAAGCAUGUCUCAUACAUAAAUACUGACACACAACUGCGAAUAGUCUAAAACUAAUAUAGAUAAUGAGUCAUACAUAGAUAGAUAAGCAUAUCACUGCGGGGGACGACGACGAGUCUGGGUCUUCCUCGGGCGAGGACCGGAAGGCGAUAAGCGCUGAGGCGGUGGACGAGGCUCGCGAUAACCACGACCAUAGUUAACCUCGUCUGUCACGGUCUGUGUCUCCUGCGUCGGUGGUGGGGUGGGGUGUGAAACACUGUCUGCGAGAAGCCAUAAAUGUUUGUAGCUUGGUCAUCAUCCUUGCGGUCGCCCUCAAAGUACGAAGCACCACCACUAAGGAUCGGUGACUGCUCUGAAUGCAUGAACGGUUGCGAUUGGUUGCCGCCUGCGGUAAAGUAAAACAUGUAAAAUUGAUACAAAUGCAUGAACGAAGCACCACCCGUAAGCAUCAGUGACUGCUGAGAAUGCAAGAACGAUUACUACACUGUUCAAAAGAAUGUAGUGAAUAGUGUUACCUAGAUUCAUCUGCUGAUGCCAGUAAGCGCUCCCUAGCUGUGAAGGAGGUGGCUCAUGCCAGGAAGAGCUCCCUGGCUGUGAAGGAAGCGGCUCAUGCCAGGAAGAGCUCCCUUGCUGUGAAGGAUGAGGUUCUGCAUGAUGCACAGAGGAUCGUGGUUCUGAACGGUGCACAGAGGGUCGUGGUUCUGAAUGUUGUACAGAGGGACGUGGCGGACGAUGUGCUGGAGGAGGAAGUGCAACAUCCGAAGUCCGUCUACACGUAACAGCUGCGUAAAUCCCGCGUAGCUUGUCAUCAAGACGCCUCAACCAUGAGACGCCCUCUCGUGGUGGGAUAGUUUCUCCCCUCUGAAAGCGCCGCAUUAAAGCGGAAACCUCCUCUCGCGCCUGUACUGUCAAAUCACCCUGUACACAAAGAGUUAACCAAUUAUAUCCUCGUUGUAUGAUAGACACCACAAAUAGACAACCAAGCGAAUAUGUCCAGAUUAACAAAAGACUUAACAUAUAAGAACCAAGGCAUUUACCGCGUGGUGUCUGGUUCCCACAACAGAGGCAGUUGGGUACAUAUUGCUGGUGAGAGGGGCUUCGAUCUGAUCAGGAGCAGCUGAUGGAACCAAGUAGAUCCUCGUUGUAUGCCGGUAAUGCUGCAGAUACAACCCGAACAUUUUCCAGUUAAAGGGCCGAACCUCACCCCAGAUAUUUGUCGCAGCGGUAGUCCAUUCGUUAACGUAAGGGGUAAUGCUCUUAAGCCAAUAAGCCAUGGACUUGUUUCCUCCUAGGCGACUAUCCCUGAGAUUGACAUGUGCGAUACAUGAUUAGGUAUAUUAUGAAUGGAGAGCUGACAACUAAAAUAGUAUUAGUACUUACUUGUGCACGUGUUCUGGCAAGUGUGGAAUAUCUGGAAUCUCAGGCUCUUGAUAUAGACCGAACUGUCUCAUCACCCUAUGAAGAGACAUCUCCUCAACCGUCACGUCGAACACCAACUUGGCCUUGGUCAUCCAAAAGUGCCGAUCUCUAGUGCACAAUCCAGAAAUCCCAACUAGGUAUCUCGAUGAUAUAGCCUGAGGCGAGUAUUGCUCCCAAAUAACUUGAUCCUCGUGCAAACUAUCAAACUGCGCCAUGAAGGACGGGUAGCAUCCCCUAACCUGAGUAUGCGCAAACUUUCUCUGUGCAUGAUAACAAAUAAGCAUUAGUAAUACUAUUGAAUGGCAAGAAAUAAUUGAAUUAAUUGUUACUUAAUAUAAAAGUGCCUCUCGCCAUGUCCAAACAGAUCCCAUAGUAGGUAAGUCGCCGAUAGCAGGCACAUAAGUCCCAGCUAACUCCUCCAAACCAAAAGGUUUAUCAACGUAGACAUAGUGUCGUCCAAUAGGGAAUCUCUCGUAUGACCAGAGCUGCAACAAUAAUGGACAUCCAACAAGACUAGAUUUUCUAGACUUCAACAAGCAAGCUUUGCACAUGCCUCUGUACGUAGUCGCUAACACAGCAGAACCAAAACUCCUCUGUAGAAUAUCCGCAGGGCAACGUGCGUCAGCUAUCUCUCGUGCAAUACCGAUGAGUCGUGCAUCGACAGUGGUCACGUGGUUCUCCGUAAACAUCGUCUUGCCGAACAGCGAAAGAAUAUAUGCCUCUAGGGACUGGUCAAUCUGUGCCUCCAACAACUGAACGUCGGGAUAUCCUAACGAGACAAUCUACAUAGAAACAUAAUAAUUGUAUGAACAUCGGACAACUAAAAAACAACAUUUGUUUAAGUGGCCGUGAUGGUUAUCUGAAACUGGCUCAACCAUCAAAAAGAGGUCCAUGAGGAUCAUUGUCUAUGGCCCUAGUAGUCGGGACCGCAGCCAAAAAACGGGUCUGCAUCGCUGCUUGCCACCCAGAUUCUGCCUCUAAGGGACCUAUGGCAGCACCGACCAGAGUAAUCCCAACAAGUAAGACACAUCCUGUAAAGUAGGCGCCAUCUCUCCCCAGGGAAAGUGAAACGUAUGUGUCUCUAGUCUCCAUCUAUCUACUAAGCAGGUAAGGAGUGACUUGUUGUAAGAGAAAUGUUUCACUUGCCUCUUGUGUAACUGCAAUGGUUCACCUGCCUCAUCUAAGUCCGGACCAUCAAUCCACUCAUCCAAUGUACCCUCAACCAGCCAUGCCAAGGGUAGAAAUCCAGCCCAACUUAACCUACAAAAUAAAGAGAUUGUUAGCGGUUAUGAAAAGUAUGUCCAACAUAGUAAGUCAUUAUAUGGACUCCAUUAUAUGCACACAUACCUAUCAACCCAUGAAUUGUGUAUCAGCCAGUUAGUCUUUGGGGUACGAGUGACCAACACGUCUAAGUUGUUGCCCGCUUCCGUAAGGGCGCCCCGGUGCUUUCUAUCAAUGUUACCAUUAAGCAACGGAUACGAAGACAUAUCUGCAAUUCAAACAACAAAUCUCAGGUGCAAAUAAAACAUAGUACGACAUAUUACAAAUUAUAACAUAGUCCUGACAUAUUACGAAUUAAAACAUAGUCCUGACAUAUUACAUAUUAAAACAUAGUCCUGACAUAUUACAAAUUAAAACAUAGUCCUGACAUAUUACAAAUUAAAACAUAGUUCUGACAUAUUACAUAUUAAAACAUAGUCCUGUCAUAUUACAUAUUAAAACCCACUACGACACAUUAUAUAGCUUGUGAGUUAUUUCUUUCUCGUCCGCCCCUUCGGCCUCGACUGCCACGACCACGUCCGCCUCUUGCUCCUGUUGUCGCAGCUGUCGAUGUGGAAGCACUCGUCGAUGCGUAAGCACCAUCUUUGUUCAGGUCAGGACAAUAUUUCAUCCUAUGCCCAUAAGCCGCGCAUAACAAACAUUGUCUGGUUGCUCCACCAGCUUCAGACUGGUCCAUAUCGUUCCGGAUGCGACGGGCCUUUCGUCUGCCCCUACUUGUUCGCCGAAGGUCUGGAUGCGGGAUGUAUAAUCUCUCACCGUCGUUUACCUUGUUGAAAUUGUCGACGACUCUAAACCCUGUCAUCUCGCCUGUCCAGGUGUUGAGCACUGCCUCUUUUAAAUAGUAUGAGGACACGAAGGAUAUAGCAUCCAACUCAAUCUGGCCACAGGCAGCCAACACAUGAGAGCAAGGUAGGUGCAACAACUUUGGUUUGUUGCAUGUACACUCACACGUUGGAUAAAAUUCCGUUCCAAUUUUUACCUCGUGUGCCUUAACCUCAUUUCCAGAAUCAAAACCAUCGGUAGGAAGCUGAACCUCAUACCUCCUUUCUUGAUUCCCUAUGAGUCUGACAGUGUGCUUCUUUGCUUUCUCUAUCUUCUUUGCCAUGUAUUCCAUGACACGGCUACAAUAAGGUGUGUUCUGAUUAUCUUCAAUAUGCUUCUUUGCUAACUCGUGCCUUUCUCUGAAAUAUCUCAAAGUGUCAUGGAAUACAGCCUCCACAAUAGCUGUGAGUGGCAAUGCUCUAUUCCCUCUCAGCACAAAGUUAUACACCUCUGCAAGAUUGGUUGUCAUGUGGCCAUACCUAGCUCCAUGUGUGUCAUGCAGCAAAGACCAAUUCAUUGGAGGCUCUUUCUCUAUCCACUCAGAAAAAAUUCUUUAUUGCCCUUCCCUUCUUUCUCUUAGUAUUAGGAGGGUCAAUUGCUGGCAAGUCACGAAGACCUACUGGAUCCUCUAGCUCUGCGAUGAGUGCUGCUAAUUUAACCUGAUCUUCUUCCAUUUUCUUCCUUGCACGGACCUGCUUCUUAGUAAACUCAUCUAGUUUUGACCAAAUAAAUUCGUAUUUGCGCUGUUGGCUCUGCUUGCAUAAUUUUUUGAACUAGUUCAUCAACCACUUGUUGUUGAACUAUGAGAAAAAAUUAGCCCCAAGAUGGCGCAUGCACCAUCGGCUCUGCAAGCACCUCCAAGGUGUUGGUUCGUCAUCUGUUGGAUUACGAAGUGUCUUCACGGCCUUCAAUAUACCAGCAUGUCUGUCAUGAAUGACACACACGUUUGGUCGGUCCUCCACGAUAGCAAUUUUCACUUGGCGGAAGAACCAUACCCAGCUGAGAAAGUUCUCACCCUCCACAAAUGCCAUGGAAAGUGGGAUGAUUUGAUUGUUCCCGUCCACACUAAUAACAGUCGGGAUUUGCCCUCUAUACUGACCGGUCAGGAAUGUACCAUCCACAAACAUAACAGGAGGACAAUGUCGGAAAGCUUCGAUGCACAUAGCAAAAGAAAAGAACACUCAUUUCAACACCUUGAAAUCUGGUAUACUCAUCAACCUCAUGUGUUGUACGUUCACAUAAGUGCCGGGAUUCCUCUCCUUUAGUAUGCCCAGGAGACGGACAACAUUAUCAUAUGAGUCGAAGAACGUCCCAAACCUUUCCUCCAUAGCCUUCUGCUUAGCCCUCCAAGCCUUCCCAUAAGGAAUGACAUAAUUCCAUCUGACCUUCACUGCUGUCUGGAUGUGUUUUGCUUCCAUAUCUUUCUUCUCUACUAUCUCAGUAUACAUGAGUUGCGCAAUGAGACUUGAAGUCAGGUUCGGAUGCUUCACCAGCAGGUUCUUCCUCACACAAUUAUGUGGGACGACAAUGGUGACAACCCAGUGGAUGUCAUACUUCGGCACGUGCCCGUGCACCUUCCCAGAACAACCUGUUACAACACAUUUCACGGUAUAGUUUGUUGGACUUGAUAUGUGUGUCCGGAAAACCCUCUGCAUAGACAUAGCCCACUUUAUCACCGCAUACUUCAAUUUUUUCUUUGUAUCAAACAUAGCCCCUAUCUGUAUUUGGUUCAAAUUAUACUGCUAUGGAGUCUCAUGGCCAUCGUUGACCGUAAGGCCGGUGGAUAUGUCAUGCUCCCAUGCAGAAGGAAUCGGUACCUCCACUUCAUCCUCAGAAUUUUCAGAAUCCAGUUCCUCCAUCAAUCCAUCCUCGUCCUCUUCCUUCAUCACCCUCUGCAUUUCAUCCCCUUCCUCAUCCCCAUCAGCAAAACCAGAACCAGCUAAUAUUAUCGACUGGCUACUCUGCCCAGUAUCAGGACCACAAACAUUGUGUGGCACAUAGUCUGACUCUUUCUCGGGUUGGCUAGCAUCCACAUCUUGUGGUUGUGACCCGGAUGAAACAAUCUCGUUAGCCACUUCACUGCCUUGGCCGGGUUCAUACCCCCUGUGGAGUUGUACGGUAUUCUCCUCCUUCGGCACAGGUUGCACAAGUGCAUAUGGGUGGAUUCUUCGGUCUCGGCACCGUCUUAACAAGGACAACCAAUGCCGGCUCCUAUCUACCGGCAUCAACUCCCACUUGACAUUUUUACAAGAUUUGGUCCACAAUGCAUGAAUACUGACGGAACAUACUUCAGGAUCCAGCCCGAAACUAGUUGUCAACCAGUACUUCAAUUGUCUAGUGUCCAGUCUGUCCGGGUCUGCUAGUGCCAUGACGCCAUUUUUAAACUCGCUAAGAUCAACCCCCAACUCAUUAUAUCGAACAUUACCAGCGUCGUAGUAAACAUUCAGAUUUACUGAUUCGGAUAUUUUCACCUGUCAGACAUUGCCAUCUUCUCAUUAAUCACAACGAACACUAAUAUUAUCCGCUACACUAACUAAAAUCCGCUAAAAUGCCACCACAUACAAAUUAACACUAACACAAUUUUUAUUAUCCGCUAAACUAACACAAUCAUUAUUAUUCCGCUACACUAACACAACUAUUACUCCGCUAAAAUGCCACCACAUACAAAUUAACACUACAAUUCGCAAUAUAAUUUAUCUACGCUAACUAAACUAUGCAACUAAGAGAAAAUUUGUGAGGAGAUGAUUAUACCUUAGCGGAGGUGCUUGCACCACCGAACAACGACAGCACCACCGCCGCCCCCUCGACGACCGGAGGUUCAACUCCAGUCACCCCCAAGCCGCACCUCCUCCUCCACAGUUGCUGCAUGCUCCCCCACAACUCCUGCUCCUCCUCAUCAACACCUGCUGCCCAACCGCAUCUCCUCCUCCCCACCAUGGCUACUCCUCCCCAAACGCACAGGAAACUAUCCCAUAGCAAAAAAAACACCGUAGGCCGUUUGAGAUUGAUACGAUCUACCGAUUCAGUGGCUUAGAUGUGAAAAUGGGUGGAAAACGGAGGAGAUCAGCUAGGGGUGGUGAGGUACAGAGAAGAAACGAGAGAGAGAAAGAAGAACAGAGGCGAGAGGAAGGAGAUGCCGCGCGGUGCCUUAUCCGGCACUUUUCGGUCGAUGCGUGGCUGAAAAGGUACUUCGGCCGCUGCCUGGCCGAAAAGGCCCACUUCGGUCGGCCCCAGGCCGAAGCUACUAUUUUCGGCCCUACUUCCACCGACACCCGGUUUUCGGCCCAGCUAGGCGUAUCUUUGGUCAACCGCGGGCCGAAAAGCCCAUUUCGGCCAAGCUGCGACCGAAAAGUGCCACUUCGGCCAACACCUGGCCGACGGACUACUAGUUUUGGUUUUUUUGCAUUACGUGCUAUAGUUCUCGAAAAUGCUAUAUAAUAUAUCACAGUUUUGAAAAAAUCUAUUUUUUCAGACUGAGCACGACAUGGUUUGGAACUGUUAAGGCAAGGUUUUUACCUCCGCAAGCGGCCGUAAUACAGGGCUAGACAGACACGAUUUUUAGCAAUUUUACACUGCAAUAUACUUCCUUCGUUCUAAAUUACUCGUCGUGGUUUUAGUUCAAGGAGUAGCUCAGGACGCGGCCCGGUUUUCAGUACUUCUCCAGUGCAAUAUAGCUGCUCUUGUACAAGUCAUCUGUACCCUAUGCACUGUAACUUCACAUGUUCAAGCUACAGCUCACUUCAAGCCGUCAAACACAUGUUCCAAGAUGCAGCAACUAUCGGUGCUAACCAACACAGCAACUACGCUGCUUCAGACAGCAAUGUAUUUUUCCACGAUCCCGAAAGGUUGUUUGGCUGCUUGCAGUUGACCGUCAGAAUCCGCGAGCACUGCCGCUAGUUCAGGAAUGUCUCGCGCUGUUGGAUUUCUCUUUGUGUUCCAAUCUGCCGAAGUAAUUUAUCAAAUCGCUUGUAUAUGACCGCCCACAUACAGAUAUCACGUCAGUUGAGUCAAUAUAGUGUAUGUAGUUUUCCAUAUCAUGUUUGACACGACUUCAAAACCUCAAAUGUGUCUUUUAAAUAUGAAUUAUGCUUUCAUCUGUGUUUUGCCCCUUUGCAGAUCAUUCGUAAAAUAUGAUCGUCAUCAGGCCAAGUACGAACAUGAUCACUUGCGGAUAGUCCAGAAAAUAACAUGUCCCAAGUAGUUCACUUAUCAUCAGGGUUGUAGUUGGUCUCUACAUUAAUAACGUAACAUGUUAUCUAGUAUAUAGAGGGGCAAGGGGCGCUCCAGGGGGGCCACCAAGACCUUAACACCUCUCGGCAGCGCCAUGUCACUCUAUAUUCCCCUCAACUUCGUUGUGUUGGUCCAUGAGUUACUGAGGUGUUCUACUUUGGAAUGUGUGGAUACCUUGGAGGCAUUAUAAUAUUCAAUGCCGGAUCGGGCAGAACUUGGCGAGGAGAAGCCCUCGAGGCUGGGAGGUACAACCAUACUGCGAGAAUCAGAUGACUUCAUUAACAUCGUCAACAUCUUCGUUGCGUUGAUGGAUCGUCGAGGGUAUGAUCUUGUUGCCUUUACCUCGAUAAUGAUCUUGGUUGGUUUAUGAGUGGUAAAAAAAUGUGUAUCACGUUCGCAUGCAUGGGUAACCAUCUCAUGUUAUCAUUUCUCUCUUUCUACACCCAACCUAACUUUCAUUUGUGUGAGCAAAAGAAAAGGGCUCAAGGUUUGUGAUUUCAGUAAGCUAAUCUUGAAUCCCCCUUCAACAGUCAUCAACAUGGCAUGAUAUAACCACAUCAUCCUAUCCUAGGGUUUUGAGGUUCUUACCACCCGUGAGGAGGAAAUUCUCAGCUUCUUCAUUGUCGAGGAAGGAACUGCGCCACUUUCAUCGGCACCGUGUAUUAAGGAGCCAUAGUGGUGGUCUUUGAGGGAUGCAACCGAACAAGGGACGAGUGGGUGAAAUAGAGAGACCAGACCAGACCAACCACCACUUGUGAAAAUCUAUUUUCUUUCCCUUUUUAUACUUCCUCCAGUCGAGUUUUUUCUGGACCAUUUUUUGUAUUUAUAUUUCUAUCUUUUUCUGUUUCUGUUGUUUGAAACUGCACAGGAAUUUCCAAAUUCGUCGAACUUUUUUUCAAAUUUUUGAUGCGCCUUUUUCAAAUUUGAUUAACUUUUUUCAAAUUCAUUGAAUUUUGUUUUCCAAAUUGAUGAACUUCUGUCCAAAUCCGGUUCAGUUUUUCUAAUUUGAUCAGCUUUUUCCCAGAAAUCGGUGAUUUUAUUUCAAAAUUGAUGAUUUUUUUUCCAAAAUCGAUGAACUUUCUUAUUGCAAGAUCGAUGCAAUUUUUUCAUAUUUGUGUUUUUUUUAAAUUGAAGAUUUUUCUAAUUUCAUAUUUUUUCAAAAAUCCGAUAACUUUUUUCCGUUCGUGAUUAUUUUCAAAUUUCAUGAACUUUUUCUCAAAUUAGUGAACUUUUUCAACUUUAUGAACUUUUUAAAAUUCAUGAAUUUUUCUGAAUACGUGAACUGUUUUAUAAUUUGUGAUUUUUUUAAUAAGGCAGCGUGUUUUUUGCAUCUUCACGAAGUUUUUUUGAAAUAUGUGAAAUUUCUAAAAUUGUUCAUUUUUUUAGGAAAAUCACGUAUGAGCGGGCUAUAAAUAUUCUUGAAGUAUAAGCGUCACUUGUAACGUGAUGCUCUAGUGGUUAGCCAGGCAGCUGCACGAGCGAGCGCCGGUUGGGUUCCGCGGCGCUGACGGCGCUGAAUAGGAGAGAAUAUCAUAUAUGACGCGCGCCGCAACAAACUGUCGCUGAAACGCACAUGGGAGAGUUCAGGAAGCCACUAGUUAACGAGUGCUUCUUUGGGAGUUUUGCAACGAUCAGCGUCAGUUGGCGCUUUCAGCCAUUCGCCACGUGUCGUGUUCUGGGCGUUCCUCUGGAUUUUAUUUUUUAUUUUUCAGCAUGCGUUUUCGGCUAUUUAAACGGGUUUUUUUCGUGGUUUUUCGACGUUUUGGUUUUUCACCGGUCUUCCUUAGCUUCUCGACAAAAAAAAUUCAAAAAAAAAUUAGCGCGAAAAAACGCGUUUUUUCCGCGAGAAUCACGGUUUUCCUUCCGCGAGAGACAUGGUUUUGCUUUCGCGAUAGUCACGGCCAUACCUCUGGGAAACGGAAAAAAACGCGUUUUCUGUUUUUUUUUUCGCGAGAGUCACGGUUUUGCUUCCGUGAGAGGCACGGUGGUGCUUUCGCGAGAGUCACGUCCGUGCCUCUGGAAAACGAAAAAAACGCGUUUUCUUUUUUUUCCCUUUCGCGAGAGUCACGGUUUUGCUUCCGCGAGAGACACGGUUGUGCUUUCGCGAGAGUCACGGCCGUGUCUCUCAGAAACGGGAAAAAAACGCAUUUUUUCCUUUCGCGAGAGUCAUGCUUUUGCUUCCGCGAGAGGCAUGAGUGUGCUUUCGCGGGAGUCACGACCGUGCUUCCUCGGGAACAAAAAACGUGUUUUUUUUCUUCCGUGAGAGGCAUGAUUAUGAUUUCCUGAGAGGCAAGGGCGUGCCUCUUUCGAAGAGGGAAAAAACCCAUGCUACCGAUUCGGUUUUUUCGUCCGUUUUUUUCGUGAAAAAAGUUCGUCAAAACCUAUUAAUAUGGGAUUUAAUUUUGAAAAUCUCGACGCUAGGAAUCCAACGGUGAAAGCGGUUUGACAUUUGCAUGCACGGUUUGCGAGAUAAAAUAUUUUGAAUAAAUGAAUCUAUGAAGAAAUGGAAAACUCCCGGGCUGCGACAAAUGGCGCGCUGCAUGUACGUCACUUAUCGUAACCUGGGAAAUUGGAGUGAUCUUUGCAACGACUCCUCAACUAGUGAUUUCGGGGAGUUCGAGCGAACGAUAUGGGCCCGCCCAUUUUCAGUAGCAUUAACGUGUUACAGAAUUCUGGUUUUGGGAACCUACUAGCAAGUUCCUGAACCUGGUUUUCAGGGUUUUUUUCCGGUUUUUUCUUAUUUCUUUCCUUCUUCCUUUUUCUUUAUCAAGUUUUUUUGAGUGAAAUGCGCUGCUAGUCCACGAACUCAAACUGAUCGCACACUUUAGGCCAUCAACUUAGAAAGUGAUCAAAUUUAGUCCACAAACUCGUUUAUUUGAUCAAAUAAGGCCAAAACUGAUUAGAGAGGAGAAAAACCAGCCACUUGGCUGCCACAUCAGCGGCUCUUAGACUGUUGGACUAACUAUUUUUAGAGGGGCGUAUUUGCAAACUUGUCGGGUUUUUUAACUUAUCUUAGUUAAAUGGCGUAUAGAGUAAAAAAAACCUGCAUUGCUGGGGACUCGAACCUACAACCAAUCAGAGUUAGCAAGCAGCAGCUAACCAUUGGGACACAAUCAGACUUCUUUAAUUUUUGACAGCCGACUCAUUAUAUAUUCAUGUAGAACCAGGAGAUUUCAUGCAAUCACCUUUUUGUUUCUUUUUCUGCGGGUGGAUCCCAUGCAAUCACAUGAUUUCCUUCUAGUGUUGGUCGGUAGAUUUCCUUAUAUUUACAAUCCUAUUAAGUACUACCCGUUAGCUUGUUUCCUGCCUUUGACAUUACUGAUUUGGAAAGAACAGUUUUCUUAAAAACAAUAUAACGCCAUGGUGCAUGGAAAGUUUAAUGUCAACAUACUUAUUGUAACAUAUAUAAUCCGAUGCAACUUAUUACAAAGUUAGGUUGUGUUCCAAUGGUAAUCAGCUAGUUGCCAAAUCCUACAGGUUGUAGGUUCAAAUCACAUGCAAGGUGGUUUUUAUUUAUUAUUUUCUUUAUACACCAUUAGUUAAGAUAGGUUGCUAAAAAACCGAUCAGCUUGCAAAAAGGGCCCUGUAAAAAUAGUUGGUCACAGAACGGUCUAAGGAACACGGACGUGGUGGCCACGUGGUCGGUUUUUCUUCUCUUCUCUUUAGACGGUUUUGGCCUUGUUUGAUCAAAUAAACGAGUUUGUGGACUAAAUCUGAUCACUUUCUGAACUGAUGGCCUAAAGUGUGCAAUCAGUUUGAGUUCGUGGACUAGUGGCGCAUUUCAAAUCACAUGCAAGGUGGUUUUUAUUUAUUAUUNNNNNNNNNNNNNNNNNNNNNNNNNNNNNNNNNNNNNNNNNNNNNNNNNNNNNNNNNNNNNNNNNNNNNNNNNNNNNNNNNNNNNNNNNNNNNNNNNNNNNNNNNNNNNNNNNNNNNNNNNNNNNNNNNNNNNNNNNNNNNNNNNNNNNNNNNNNNNNNNNNNNNNNNNNNNNNNNNNNNNNNNNNNNNNNNNNNNNNNNNNNNNNNNNNNNNNNNNNNNNNNNNNNNNNNNNNNNNNNNNNNNNNNNNNNNNNNNNNNNNNNNNNNNNNNNNNNNNNNNNNNNNNNNNNNNNNNNNNNNNNNNNNNNNNNNNNNNNNNNNNNNNNNNNNNNNNNNNNNNNNNNNNNNNNNNNNNNNNNNNNNNNNNNNNNNNNNNNNNNNNNNNNNUAGUUAAGAUAGGUUGCUAAAAAACCGAUCAGCUUGCAAAAAGGGCCCUGUAAAAAUAGUUGGUCACAGAACGGUCUAAGGAACACGGACGUGGUGGCCACGUGGUCGGUUUUUCUUCUCUUCUCCUCUUUAGACGGUUUUGGCCUUGUUUGAUCAAAUAAACGAGUUUGUGGACUAAAUCUGAUCACUUUCUGAACUGAUGGCCUAAAGUGUGCAAUCAGUUUGAGUUCGUGGACUAGUGGCGCAUUUCACUCAGUUUUUUUCUUUUUUUCGGUUUUUGUUUCUUUUCAUUUUCCAAGUUUUUUUCCUUUUCAAAAUUAUUUUAUUUUUAGCAAAUUUGUUCAUAAAUUGAGAAAAAAGUUCUGUGUUUCAGAAAAUUAUCAAAUUUUCAAAAAAUGCUCAUGUUUUCAAAUAUUGUUCAGAAGUUUAAAAAAUGUUCCUCCUUUUCCAAAAAAAAUCACAACUUCAAAAAAUGUUCAGGAUUUUCAAAAUUUCUUCAUGUCUUAAAAUUUUGGUCAGCGUAAAAAAACCAUUCCUGUUUCUUCCAAUUUAGUUCACAAAUGGGAAAAUUAAUCAAGAAUUGAAAAAACGAUUGUUUUUUGAUUUUUUUUCGAAUUUUAAGUACUGUUCCUGUUUUCAAAUGUUUUUCACAAACUUGAAAAAUGUUCGAGUAUUUCAAAAAAUGGUCCGAGGUUUCCAAAUUUGUUCAGAAUUUUUUAGACUUUUCAUUAUUUGAACAGAAAGUUCAGAAUUUUCAAGAAAUUCACAGUUUCAAAAAAUGGUCACUUUCUACAAAAAUUGUUCGCCAUUUUGGGAAGAAGUUUGAAAUUUCAAUAUUUGUUCGUGUUGUUAAGUUCACACUUUUAAAAAAAAAUCAGAACUCCAAAAGAUGUUAACAUUUUUGACAAAUCGCAUUUCAGAAAAGUUUAAAAUUUCGGAAUUUGUUCACAUCUAGCACAAAAUGUUCAGACUUUCAAAAAAUACUUGCCUUUUAAUUAUUUAUUUACACUUUGCAAGAAAAGUGUUCAUUUUUUUUGAAAAGGUAUUCAUAUCUGGCGUUGUGGUUAGUACUUAAAAAUUAGCGCUGCUUUUACCAAUGUAUUAUCGUCUAAUGCAUAGGUUUGUCGACAGGGCUUUGUAACCCGGUGGUCUGCGAUUCGACUCCUGUUCAGGGCACUUGAUAUUUUUUUCUGUUGUGCCACAGUACAAGCGGUGCGAAUGCGCGAGCACACUAAUGGGCCUGCCCAUUCGGGGCUUGCUACAUGAGUCGCGACCCCAAUUUGACGCAGAAUGCAUCAAAUAGGAGCUCCCUUCCUCAUGGGGCAUAGCUGAGGCAUGGAUGCUUUAAGCAAGAGCGGGCCUGGCCCAAUCUCUCAUACAUGAAGUUAAUCAUCCUGAUCACAUGUAUUGUCUUCGCCAUAGGGCCCACUAGCAAAGCGUGAGCAUGCAUCAAGGAAGGUGGCAGUGCAUAGGAGCAACAAGCAAAUGAAUGGACGAAGCUCUGGAAGAUAGAGGUUCCAUCCAAAAUCAAGAUGUUCUUAUGGCGGUUUGCGAGAUGCUCCACACCCACGGCGGAUCUCCUUCAGCGUCGAAAUAUGGCCACAUCUGGGGCAUGCAAAUUAUGUGGGGCUGCCGACUCUUGGAGACAUGCACUCUUAAACUGUUCUAUGGCCAGAAGUGUUUGGGCCUUGGCGGAGGAGGAUAUGGUGGAAAAAAUGAUCCAGUGUGAUAGUGACAACGCCAAAGACUGGUUUUUCAAGAUGAUAGACACGCUGUCAUAUGAACAGCUAAUUCAAAUGGCAAUCACUCUCUGGGCCGUGUGGGGAGCAAGGAGGAAAGCAAUUUAUGAAGACAUCUUCCAAAGUCCCAUGUCGACUCACCUUUUUAUCCAGUCUUAUUGGAAUGACCUUCAAAUCACAAAGAAACCGAACUUGCAUCACAUUCCAUCGAGACAGCCCCGGCCGAGACAGUGGAUUCAGCCACCAGAGAACACAAUGAAGCUCGACGUGGAUGCGGCGGUGGCAUCACGGAGGGGAAUAGGAGCAGUGGGUGCAGUUUGCAGAGACAGGGGAGGCAGUUUCCAGGGUACCUCGGUGAUCGUUUUCAGAGGUAUAAUCGACCCCACUACGCUGGAGGCGUUAGCGGUGAGGGAAGCAAUGGCACUCGCGGAAGAUUUGAACGUCUCUGCCAUACAGGUGGCCUCAGACUGUUCGGUGGUAAUAGAUGACAUCAAGAGAAAUAGUGGAGCAGAAUAUGGAGCAAUCGUGCAAGAGAUUAGAGAGUAUGCUAAGUCUUUUGUUUUAUGUAAUUUUGUUCAUGAGUUUAGGAGCUCGAAUUUCGAAGCUCAUAAUCUAGUGAGACAUGCACUGCGACGGGGCCUGGCCGCCAUGUUUGGUUAGGCCACCCUGGGGACCUCCAUUUCGUCCCUGUAACCAUGGUGACGUCUUAAUAAAGUUUCACGGAUUGUCUAAAAAAGUCAAGGAAGGUGGCGGCUGUGCACUUCAUUUCGGUGGAGGUCGACUUGGAUGGUUCACAGAGGCAUGGGGCAGCGGCAUUGCUUCGCACACCUAGGUGUGGCGGGGAAGGUAGAGUUGGGAGGUGUGACAUCGUCCUCUAUUGGAGGUCUUGUUGUGCAGUGCGCAUGAAUGCUCGGAGCUUGGGCGGUGACGUGUGUGGGUUAGUUGUGGCUUGUGAGGGGCAUAUCUGUCGUGCAAUGGAGGUUGAGGUGUGCGUGACCACUGGGUGUGUACACUCCGGAUUGGAGGUGGCAUGACGUUGUUUGUUUUGUCUACUUCGGUUGUGUGGGACAACAAGUGCGGCCAAGGUGAUGGGGUGUUCAUGCUCGGAUCUUCGAGCCUGGGUGGCGACGAGCGAUGGUCGGGGUGGCGGCUAUUGUCAAGGUGAAUCUCAGAUCCGGUCGGAUCUGGACUAUGCAGGCUUGUGGUUGCUGCUCUGUGGCGGUACGACUGGUGUUUUGUUGGCCGUGGCGCGGCACGGUUGUGCGGUGUGGUGUUGCUUGUGUUGUGGUCUCGAUCGGGUCCAGGUGGUGCCGACAUCGACUCGGGGAUUCCUCCUUGAUGUUGCAUGACUGUGAUGUCCUGCUUAGUUCGGUGUGGUCUACCACCAAUGAAUACAAGCGGAGCCACAACUUAGUCUUCCAGGUUUGUAGCAGCUGGCCCCAUACACAAGGUAUGUUAAAGUGGCGAGGAAUAAGAUUUUGGGGGAAAGAUUUGAUCGACAAGGGCCGUUACUGACGAUGAUUGAAGGCAUUGUCGAAGGGUACUUUUUCAACAUUGGUAUGUGCCCGUCGAAGUGGUGGCAGCGUUGGAGGUUGUUGACAUGGCUGAACCAUUAUCAAAGGUUCGGUGGGGUUGGUCAAGCACGGUUCGUGCGAAAACUUUGUGGUUGAUGAUGGUCGAUGCGAACGAUGACAUCGUCCAUGGGCGUCGUUUUUCUUUUUGAAGCCACUCCAAAGAUCUUGCUCUCAGUGCAUGUACAAUGGUGGCAUAUCCAUAUGCCUCAUGAUAAAAAGUAAUUUGAGACAUCUAUAUUAAUUUUUUUCUCUUCAAUCCAAGCUCUCACUAGUAGGCCUCAUUAUUAAAUAGAAAAUAAAGACUCUAGUACACAUGCAUCUUUACUUUUCAUUCCAACCUUUUUAGCUUUUGUCAUCGGACCAUACUUUUUUCUUCAAAUAUCCGCCUCCUGGAGAGGAUCCAGCUUACCUAUCCAAACCUACUUUACGUCAUAUCCGAUCCUACAUGGCAUGCGAGGCAUCACCUUGAGGCUAUGCAUUGUACAUGCCCUCAAGUCGUCUUAGAUGGUGCUGGUGGUCGGUUUAGGUCGUCAUCGGUGUUGUGCGUUUUUCUUCUUUCUUUUUUCUUACACAUGAUGUGGUCUUGCCUUAGUUUUCCUUGGAAAACUAGACCAUUUUCGAAAAGGAAAAAAGAAUUGCAGGAGCACCCAGCCCCAUAAGAAAAUUCUCUACCUGCAGAAAGAAUUGCAAAUUUGCAGCGGAACACGAGGUGAAAUCCAACAGCGUAAGGACACCCGUGAACUGGCGGCAGUGCUCGUGGGUUGACACUAAAAUAGAAGCAACCCUCGAUACAGAGAUGGUUGCUGCAGCUUGGAACAUGUCACUGACGGCUUAAAGUGAGCUGUAGCCUAAACGUGUGAUGGUAAUACAAACGGUACAAGAAGAGAACGUCAAGUUUCCUGAACAACUUGACAAUAGAUUUGCUCGAGCCCCCGGCGCCAUCACCAUGUACAAAGUAUACAAAGUACUCGAACCACCACAGCCUCCCCUCCUCACGCCGAAGGCAACACCAGCCUCGUAAACCAAUAGCUGAAAACUGAAAUUAAGAAAUGGAACAGUGAAACUGAAACAUCUUUGCAAAUUCAGAAUCGUUGUCAGCAGAGUUCUACAGAAGCCAUACUCACAAAUCAGAAUAGAAGUUGCAGAUUCAGAACUCACACAAACAGGAUCAUAGCAAGAACUCUGUCAAGUGAAGCGACGGGGAUAAUAGCUGAACCUGAACAUGAUAGAGAGCAAUGACCAAAGAAACACCAUUAAUAUUUCAUGAGGUAAUGAAACAGGGUGUUCCCACAGAACCAACACAAGUUACAGGAAGACAUGGUCUGAACAGCUGACUAUUACAGAAAAGCAUCCUAGCCUAGGAGGAGGUGAACUUGGUGACAGCCUUGGUGCCCUCGGAGACGGCGUGCUUGGCGAGCUCGCCGGGGAGGACGAGGCGGACGGAGGUCUGGAUCUCCCGGGACGUGAUGGUGGGCUUCUUAUUGUACCUCGCAAGCUUGGCCGACUCGCCGGCGAGCUUCUCGAAGAUGUCGUUGAUGAAGGAGUUCAUGAUGGACAUGGCCUUGGAGGAGAUGCCGAUGUCCGGGUGCACCUGCUUCAGCACCUUGAAGAUGUAGAUCUUGUACGUCUCCACGCUCUUCUUGGACUUCUUCUUCCCCUUCUUCUCGCCGCCCUCCUUGGACGCCGGCGGCCGCUUCUCGGCCUUGGUCUUCUUGGCUGCCGUCGUCUUCUCGGCCUUCUCCGCCACCGGCUUCUUCUCCGCCUUGGGGGCCAUGGAUGCCGCUGCUACUUCGCCGGGGAGACCCGUGGGAUUGUGGGGUGCGGUGGUGUUUCGCUGGGAGGUGGGAGGACUGGUGAGGAAUCGGCGGCGAGGGCGCGGAGGAUUUAUAGGACGGGAGAGGGUGUCUCUGAUUGGUGGAGGGGUGCGUGCCACGGAUCGGUGGCCUCGAAUGAUCUGAUACGAUCUCAGCCGUUCGCCGAUGUGCGCGAUGGACGGCCCGGAUGCGCCACGGCGCGGAUCGCUGACGUGGCGGAAAGGUUGGCGGGGGGGAACAGACGGGUUUCGGCCCACGCGCGCGUAUGUACCGGUUGGAGUUUCUCCGUGGCGGCAAUUUUGAGUUAGAUCUUUUUCCAUCGACAUUUUGCUCUUUUUUGCGGGGAAAUACUCUCUACGGUCCUUUUUACUUUGCAUAUUAGGUUUGUCCAAAGUCAAUCUCAUUCAAUUUUUACUAAGUUUAUAUAAAAAAUUAUAGACAUUCACAUAACAACACCAAUAUCAUUAGAUUCAUCUUGAAAUAUAUUUUCAUAUUAUAUUUAUUAGAUAUUAUAGGUGCUAAUAAUUUUUAAUAUAAAUUUGGUCAAACUUAGCAAAGUUUGACUUUCGCCAAAUCCAAUGUUUAGAGUAAAAAGGACCGGAGGGAGUACUUUGUACAUGCAUACGUGCGUCUUUCUGCGCCGUUUAUCAAUGUUGGUCAUUAAUUGUUUGAAGAAUUUAUUCAAUGGAGUAAGUCAAAUAGUUAGGUGGUGUUUGGUUCUCUAGUUCUAGGACUUUUUCUAGUCCCAACUAAAAAGUCUCUAGUCCCUAAAAAGUCCCUCCCUGUUUGUUUCCACAGACUAAAAAGUCCCUAGUACCUUCCUAGAGGUUAUUAAAUGAUCAUGUUGCCCUUAGUAUAUAGAAAAAUAACAAUCAAACAACACCAUGGGAUGGCGGGCCAAUGGGUGCAUGAAGGGGCAUUGUUGAAAAAGUCCCAAAAAGUCCCCAAAAGACUCUCCUUGGAGAGUCUUCUUUAUUUAGUCCCAAAUGCCUAGUUUAGUCUUAAAAGUCCCUCAUGUUUGGUAAAAAAGUCUUUAAGAGGGACUUUUUCUAGUCCUUACACAAAAAAGUUCCUGAAAACAAACACCCCCUUAGAUCAUUUAGAACUGUGGUUGUUCGUACCAUGGAGCGUAGGGGCUGAAGAAGUGCACGGAUGUCCUUCACGGCGCCUCCUCAAAUUUGCACUGCCCUCGGAUGGAAGAGGAGUGGUGCGUAGAAGAGUUUUUGAGCUAGAGGGGGGAUGUGGUUGGAAAGGUAGGGGCGCGCGGAGGAGUUCGACCGGGUGGUGUUUUAAUCGACCUUGAAGAAUAUUUUUCAAGAGUUUGGUUACUGAUUCAAGUGAUUUUAAUCAAUUGUUUGAAAGAUUUGAACCCUUACAUAACAAAAUUUCAGCAGAGUUUCCUUUUUUUAAUGACAUCUACAACAUGCAAUUUACAUAGUGUUAUUAAUUUUCUAGUUUAAAGUAAUGCAAGCAUAAGAAAAACACACCUUUGCUCAAUAAUACAAAAACAACACGAACAUAUAUCUGCUGCGGCGAGAGUGAGAGAAAAAUGUGUUUUUUUAAUAGUCCCGGUGAGAACUAACCCAAAUAAGCACUUCUUGGCUAGGUUAGAUUUUUUAGGUGGGUUAGAUGCAUCUAACCCAAACAACCCUCAUAUUUGGAUAUUUUUGGGUUAGUUGAGUCCAAACUAACCCAAACUAAUUCUAACCUAUAGAUCCAAACAGGUCCAUUAUAGUACACACGAUAACUGCACAGUCACGAAGUGAUGUAAAAAUAAUAAAGACUUCCAAUGUUGUAAUCAGCAUCUCUUGUGCCACUAAUCCCUACUCCAACGAUAGCCUCUUGAAUUAUUCUUGUAUCAUUACUAUCAUCACCUAUUGGUAGAGUUAAAGAACCAAAGGACUUAACGAUACCAAACAUGUAUCUAACUCACUGAGUCAUUUAUGGACCUAAAGCCUAGUUGAUGGCCCUAUUCUGUUCGACUGCUUUGGAAAAUCUGAGCACUUCUCCACCUGCUUAUUUCUUGAUUAAUUUGCACAUGUACAUAUAUUUUUGUUGCACGGCAUAUAAGGUGAAGUGUGGGAGGGGAACCAUUAGUCAAUCGGAUUUCUAACAGCUUAAUUUUAUUCAUGAAGAACAACAAAAUAGACGUCUUGUGAACUAUUGUUUUUAGCAGCUUAAACAUAAGCAUGACAUAUUAUAGUUCAGCAACCACAACACUACAUCUAGUGACAUCCCAAUAUUAUUAUUUUCAGGAAAAAGGGACAUUCGACACUCAGUGCCAAAAGACAAAUAUGCACGUCAUGUUAACUUUUCUCAGGCAUCAAUUUACAUGUCAAAAUGUAAGAAAGUUGUUGGUAGAAAUAGCCAAAGAGAAACCUGUGCUUUCUUCAAAGGUGUCAUUUGACAACAUGGCCAGCCGAUUUAAAAGUUCCAACAAAUGCUUUAGAAUUAUUUCGAGUGCCCAACCAUCCAAAACGAAUGAAAGAUCCUGCUUAAAAGAAAUUUGUCAUUAGGUACUCAACUAAAUCAAACUAAGAACUCAUUUAGAAGGAACACGGUUUAAUUUCAUUAAAUGCACAUAGAUGAACACACUAAAGAGUAUGAUAGCAAAUAUGAAUUGAUAGUUUAAACUAAAUAUACAAAAUGGAACAAAUUCUUUAGUUUAAACCAACAUGACAUAAAGGCAUUACACCUAAUGUAAGGUAUUGUUUGAACAUCUAAUGGAUUGACAUAAAGUUUAAUGUCAUUUUCAUGUGUGUAUUUUUACUAUCAAAAUGGGAUACAAAAGACAUUUUCCACAUAUAACAUUUGAUACCAUUCAUGUACGGGACAAUAUGGAAUCUACAAAAAAUUCCUUUUAUUUCCAACAUGUCAUCAUAUUACCAAUGUCGUCCCUAAGCUAUGUAAUAUGUCGUCUUCAGCUUUUCCAUUGAUGGACGACAAUUACAUACCCUGCCAUUGGACUCUAAGAGAGACAUAUAACACUCGUGUAAGGUAUAAUAUGGAAUCUUGAAAAAGUGACUUUUAUUUACAACAUGUCAUUAUAUUACCAAUGCCCUCCCUAAGCUAUGUAAUACGUCGUAUUUGGUUUUUCCAUUGAUGGACGACAAUUGGCCAUUCGACACACACACACACACACAGAGAGAGAGGGGGAGAGAGAGAGAGAGACGAGAGUUGCAGUGAUUUCGGUAUCAGGUUGAUAAUACAAAAUAGUGGUCUUAUGACCAAUUAUCUGAUGUACUAACCACAUGGAAAGUAUAAAUUCAUAUUAUAAAACUAGGAGAUUACCAAAGGGUGCGGAAGAAAGGAAAUUGCUUAAUGGCAGUGUUUGUUUGUGAGAUGCAUUUUUGUUUACACCACAACUUCAUUCCUAGCUAUACAUUGUUUGUGCGCUAUAUUGCAACAUUACUGAUUUGGGGGAGGUGAAGUAUAAAGACUACUAUGGUUGCUAUAUGCCAUUGAGGAACCGAAUUCAACGAUGCAUAUCUGCUACGGAUAGCAGACCCUCGACCAGAGGUACGAAGCCACCCACCCAUGUCUUUGAGCCCCAUGCCACCUCAUGCCACCGUCCAUGCUGCUCCACAAUAUUGCAUGGUCACCGCCGAGUACGGCAUGUCUGAGGGGCGGAUUAGCGCCAACAUCAAGCCAGGAGUGCCAGCGGAGUUCACUGCGAUCCACAAAGCCCCUUGACCAGCCGUCGUAGCACCCCAUUCCAAUGAGAGGACUAGGAAUAGAAGGGAAUGCGCGCUUUGCUGCGCCGUUUACUCCCUUAUAGAAAAUAUAGAAAAACAGACCCUUAUGAUAAAAUCAUCCAAUAUAGGUUAUCUAUUGAAGUAAAAUCAUCAACGGGAGAUUAUCUAUAUCUAAAUCAACCAAGGGAAAUUUGAUGUAUGCUCGUUGAGGAGCCUUGCACUAAUAUGUUGUAAGUCACCACUUAGUCCAAAACACAUAUAACAGAAGGAAGAGAAUGACGAUUAAUUGACACCUGGUAACUAAAUGACGGCAUGUACACUGGGCUACUAUGGGUAAGAAUAGAUUCCAUAAACAUAAGAGAAAGGUAAGAAGUGCGCCUACACCCGUGAGUUUUCCCACGUGACAAUUCCAGUGCAAGAAGAAAUUUUGCAAGAACAAUAGCUUUGUGCCUAACUAUCAACUUUAUAAUGUUUAGAAUCCUAGAAAACAUAUUAUUUUUUGUGAAAUACAUGUACAUAUAUGAGGAACUUGUGAUACCACUUUAUCAUAAAACUUACCAUACUGCUCCACCUGGGCACACAAACCAAAAACCCAAUCAGUGUGGGAUAAUCUGCUUCUUUUGCGCAUAUCAAACAUGUUAAGACUUCAUUGACCCAGCAUAUUACAAACAAACUUCAUUUUCACUAUAAUGAGAGUGAACUUGGUAUUUUCUAGACAAUUCAUGACUAUCACUCAACUGAAGUUUUAUAGGACUUGGAGAAAACAGUUCACACCAAAAAAAAUAAAAAACAGUAAUUGAACAAAUGUUCAACAAGAAACUGUUUUGAAUUCUAGUGCUAAUUUAUUAACAAGAGUAUGAUGUAACAUUACAUGCUACUAAUUGAUUUCUUUAUUCAUUUCUUCUGGACUGUAGUAUAUAUUUAUAGAUAAGAUGAAGGCAGUGUAGAAAAACUAAGGGAAAGCAAGCGCAUAUAUAAUAGUGGAACCAAAGAAGAACACCUACAUGGUUUCCAAAAUUAGAUGUAGGACACUAUAUCUGACACUCACCCAAUCAAUUAUAUGUCAUCCCUGUGCCUUCAUCUAGGCCACGACAAAUUAAUUUUGAAUUUGCUAGCACUAAUUCUUCUAUGUAAAAGCACAAGAAGUAAAGUUAUUUAGUUUGUACUUAUGCAUUCGCAAUCUACCGUAAAUCCAUAAUCAACUACAUAAAAAGGAGAAUCUAACCUUGAGCUGUUAUGGCACUUUUUUCUCAUAUAAUAUCAUACAAUGCGCUUCCUCUAAGCAUCAUUUACUCAGAAAAAAGGUCAAAACUAAAAGAAAUACAAACAGAGUACAAAAUAAAUUGUAAGUUCCUGAUUCAUUUAGUGUCACUUUCUUGGGUGUUUCAUGUUCAUUUGUUGCACAAGUGAUUCCUAAAAUUUUGAAUCAAAACUAAGGGUGUGUUUGGUUGCAGUCAUCGACUGGAAUGUCACGGGUCCAACCCGUUCCUGGGCCACGUUCUCGUGUUUAGUUCAGCGUUGGAACCGAAACCCACUGAUUCUCUGGAAGCGGCAUAUUCCCUCAAUAUGCGGCACGGGGUCUGAUACGUCCAUUUUGCAUCAUGCUUUUAUAUCGAUAUUUAUCGCAUUAUGGACUGCUAUUUCACUUUAUGUCACAAUACUUAUGGCUAUUCUCUAUUAUUUACAAGGUUUACAUAAGGAGGGAGAAUGCCGGCAGCUGGAAUUCUGGUCUGGAAAGGAGCAAAUAUUAGAGACCUAUUCUGCGCAACUCCAAAAGUCCUGAAACUCCACGGAACAUCUUAAAAGAAAUAAAGAAAAAUCCACACCAAAGAUGAAGGCCAGGGGGCCCACACCCUGCUCACGAGGGUGGGGGACGCCCCCCUAGGCGUGCCCCCCUACCUCGUGGGCCCCCUGGUGGCUCUCCGACGUCCAUCUUCUCCUAUAUGAGGUCUUUCGAUGAGAAAAAAACACGAGGGAACUUUUAGGGACAAAACUCCGCCGCCACGAGGCGGAACCUUGGUGGAUCCAAUCUAGAGCUCCGACAGAGCUGUUCUGCCGGGGAAACUUCCCUCCGGGAGGGGGAAAUCAUCAUCAUUGUCAUCACCAAUGCUCCUCUCAUCGGGAGAGGGCAAUCUCCAUCAACAUCUUCACCAGCACCAUCUCAUCUCCAAACCCGAGUUCAUCUUUUGUAUCCAAUUCUUGUCUCAAAGUCCGGGAUUGGUGCUAGUAGGUUGCUAGUAGUGUUGAUUACUCCGUGUAGUUGAUGCUAGUUGGUUUAAUUGGUGGAAGAUCAUAUGUUCAGAUCCUAUAUGCAUAUUAUUACCCCUCUGAUUAUGAACAUGAAUAUGCUUUGUGAGUAAUUACGUUCGUUCUUGAGGACAAGGGAGAAGUCUUGCUAUGAGUAGUCAUGUGAAUUUGGUAUUCGUUUGAUAUUUUGAUAAGAUGUAUGUUGUCUAGCCUCUAGUGGUGUUAUGUGAACGUCGACUACAUAACACUUCACCAUUAUUUGGGCCUAGAGGAAGGCAUUGGGAAGUAAUAAGUAGAUGAUGGGUUGCUAGAGUGACAGAAGCUUAAACCCUAGUUUAUGCGAUGCUUCGUAAGGGGCUGAUUUGGAUCCAUAUGUUUCAUGCUAUGGUUAUGUUUACCUUAAUACUUUUGUUGUAGUUGUGGAUGCUUGCAAUAGAGGUUAAUCAUAAGUGGGAUGUUUGUUCAAGUAAGAACAUCACCCAAGCACCGGUCCACCCACAUAUCAAAUUAUCAAAGUAUCUAACGUGAAUCAUAUGAACGUGAUGAAAACUAGCUUGAUGAUAUUCCCAUGUGUCCUCGGGAGAGCUUUUCCUAUUAUAAGAGUUUGUUCCGGCUUGUCCUUUGCUACAAAAGGAUUGGGCCACCUUGCUGCACUUUAUUUACUUUUGUUACUUGUUGCUCGUUACAACCUAUCUUAUCACAAAACUAUCUCUUACCACUUAUUUCAGUACUUGCAGAGAAUACAUUGCUGAAAACCGCUUAUCAUUUCCUUCUGCUCCUCAUUGGGUUCGGCACUCUUACUUAUCAAAAGGACUACGAUAGAUCCCCUAUACUUGUGGGUCAUCAAGACUCUUUUCUAGCGCCGUUGCCGGGGAGUGUAGCGCCUUUGGUAGGUGGAAUUUGGUAAGGAAAAAUUUAUAUAGUGUGCUGAAAUUUACUGUCACUUGUUACUAUGGAAAGUAAUUCUCUAAGGGGCUUGUUCGGGGUAUCUUCACCCCGUCCAGUAGAGCAAAGAGUUGCUCCUCAACCUACUGAACCGAUUGAAAAUUAAACUCCUUUUAAAUUUCCUUCGGGUAUGAUGGAAAAACUGCUAGAUGAACCUUUUACAGGAGAUGGAACAAAGCAUCCUGAUGAGCACUUGAUAUAUGUGGAUGAAGUUUGUGGAUUAUUUAAGCUUGCAGGUAUACCCGAUGAUGUUGCUAAGAAGAAGGUCUUCCCUUUAUCUUUGAAGGGAGAUGCAUUGAUAUGGUAUAGGCUAUGUGAUGAUAUGAGAUCAUGGGACUAUAAAAGAUUGAAGUUGGAAUUUCAUCAAAAGUAUUACCCUAUGCAUCUUGUUCAUCGUGAUCGCAAUUAUAUAUAUAAUUUCUGGCCUCGCGAAGGAGAAAGCAUCGCUCAAGCUUGGGGGAGGCUUAAAUCAAUGUUAUAUUCAUGCCCCAAUCAUGAGCUCCCGAGAAAAUAAUUAUGCAAAGUUUUUAUGCUCGGCUUUAUGAUAACAAUCGCACCAUGCUCGAUACUUCUUGUGCUGGCUCUUUUAUGAUGAAGACUAUUGAAUUCAGAUGGAAUUUAUUGGAUAGAAUUAAACGCAACUCUGAAGAUUGGGACCUCGACGAAGGUAAGGAGUCAGGUAUGACACCUAAGUUUGAUUGUGUUAAAUCUUUUAUGGAUACCGAUAUUUUCCGUAAGUUUAGCACUAAAUAUGGACUUGACUCUGAGAUAGUAGCUUCUUUCUGUGAAUCUUUUGCUACUUAUGUUGAUCUCCCUAAGGAGAAGUGGUUUAAAUAUCAUCCUCCCAUAGAAGUAAAAGUAGCUGCACCUAUUAAAGUUGAAGAAAAGACUGUCACUUAUAAUGAUCCUAUUGUUACUACUUCUUAUGUUGAGAAACCACCUUUCCCUGUUAGAAUAAAGGAUCAUGCCAAAGCUUCAACUAUUGUUCGUAAAAGCAAUAUUAGAACUUAUACACCUCUUGAGCAAGUUAAAGUAGAACCUAAUAUUGCUAUUGUUAAAGAUCUCUUGUCUGCUAAUAUUGAUGGGCAUGUUAUUCAGUUCGAAGGUGAAACUUCUAGAAUUGCUAAACCUUGUGCUAAAGAUAAACAUAGACCUGUGGUAGGCGUGCCUGUUAUUUCUGUUAAAAUAGGAGAUCAUUGUUAUCAUGGCUUAUGUGAUACGGGUGCAAGUGCUAGUGUUAUACCACAUACUUUAUACGAAGAAAUUAAGAAUGAAAUUGCACCUGUUGAGUUAGAAGAUAUUGAUGUUACUAUUAAACUUGCUAAUAGAGAUACUAUUGCACCAAUUGGAAUUGGUGGAGAUGUUGAAGUCUUGUGUGGGAAAACUAAAUAUCCUGCUGAUUUUCUUGUUCUUACUUCUCCACAAGAUAGCUUUUGUCCCAUGAUAUUUGGUAGACCCUUCUUAAAUAUUGUCAAUGCUACCAUAGAUUGCACAAAGAAUGUUGUUACUGUUGGCUUGGAUGAUAUGGCUCAUGAGUUUAAUUUCUCUAAAUUUAGUAAACAACAUCGUGAGGAAGAAUUACCUAGUAAGGAUGAAAUUAUUGGUCUUGCUUCUAUUGCUGUACCUCCUAGUGAUCCUUUAGAACACUAUUUGCUAGACCAUGAAAAUGAUAUGUUCGUGAAUGAAAGAAGGGAAAUAGAUGAAGUAUUCUUUAAAUAGGAACCUAUUCUGCAUCACAAUUUGCCUGUUGAAAUUUUAGGGGAUCCUCCUCCACCCAAGGGUGAUCCCGUGUUCGAGCUUAAACCUUUGCCUGAUAAUCUUAAAUAUGCUUAUCUUGAUGAAAAGAAGAUAUAUCCUAUUAUUAUUAGUGCUAACCUUUUAGAGCAUGAAGAAGAAAGAUUAUUGAAAACUCUGAAGAAGCAUCGUGCUGCUAUUGGAUAUACUCUUGAUGAUAUUAAGGGCAUUAGUCCCACUCUAUGUCAACAUAAAAUAAAUUUGGAAGCAGAUGCCAAACCAGUUUGUGAUCCUCAACAACGUCUGAAUCCUAAAAUGAAAGAAGUGGUAAGAAAAGAAAUACUCAAGCUUCUGGAGGCAGGUAUAAUUUAUCCCGUUGCUGAUAGUGAGUGGGUAAGUCCUGUCCAUUGUGUCCCUAAGAAGGGAGGUAUUACUGUUGUUCCUAAUGAUAAAGAUGAAUUGAUUCCACAAAGAAUUAUCACAGGUUAUAGGAUGGUAAUUGAUUUCCGCAAAUUAAAUAAAGCUACUAAGAAAGAUCAUUACCCCUUACCUUUUAUUGAUCAAAUGCUAGAAAUAUUAUGCAAACAUACACACUAUUGCUUCCUAGAUGGUUAUUCUGGUUUCUCUCAAAUACCUGUGCCGGCUAGAGAUCAAUCAAAGACUACUUUUACAUGCCCUUUUGGUACUUUUGCUUAUAGACGUAUGCCUUUUGGUUUAUGUAAUGCACCUGCUACCUUUCAAAGAUGCAUGAUGGCUAUAUUCUCUAACUUUUGUGAAAAUAUUUGUGAGGUUUUCAUGGACGACUUUUCCGUCUAUGGUUCCUCUUUUGAUGAUUGCUUGAGCAAUCUUGAUCGCGUUUUGUAGAGAUGUGAAGAAACUAAUCUUGUCUUGAAUUGGGAAAAGUGCCACUUUAUGGUUAAUGAAGGUAUUGUCUUGGGUCACAAAGUUUCUGAAAGAGGUAUUAAAGUUGAUAAAUCCAAGGUUGAUACUAUUGAAAAGAUGCCAUGUCCCAAGGACAUCAAAGGCAUAAGAAGUUUUCUUGGUCACGCCGGAUUUUACAGGAGGUUCAUUAAGGACUUCUCAAAAAUUUCUCGGCCUCUGACUAUUUUAUUGCAAAAAGAUAUACCAUUUGUCUUUGAUGAUGAUUGUGUAGAAGCAUUUGAAAUACUUAAGAAAGCUUUAGUCACUGCACCUAUUGUUCAGCCACCUGAUUGGAAUUUACCCUUUGAAAUUAUGUGUGAUGCUAGUGAUUAUGUUGUAGGUGCUGUUCUAGGUCAAAGAGUUGAUAAGAAAUUAAAUGUUAUUCAUUAUGCUAGUAAGACUCUAGACAAUGCUCAAAGAAAUUAUUCUACUACUGAAAAAGAGCUUUUAGCAGUUGUAUUUUCUUGUGAUAAAUUCAGAUCUUAUAUUGUUGAUUCUAAAGUAACUAUUCAAACAGAUCAUGCUGCUAUUAAAUAUCUUAUGGAAAAGAAAGAUGCUAAACCUAGACUUAUUAGAUGGGUUCUCUUGCUACAAGAAUUUGAUUUGCAUAUUGUUGAUAGAAAGGGGGCUGAGAACCCCAUUGCAGACAACUUGUCUAGGUUAGAAAAUAUUCUUGAUGACCCACUACCUAUUAAUGAUAGCUUUCCUGAUGAACAAUUAAAUGUUAUAAGUACUUCUCGUAGUACUCCAUGGUAUGCUGAUUAUGCUAAUUACAUUGUUGCUAAAUUUAUACUACCUAGCUUCACAUACCAACAAAAGAAAAAGUUCUUCUAUCAUUUAAGACAUUACUUUUGGGAUGACCCACAUCUUUAUAAAGAAGGAGUAGAUGGUGUUAUUAGACGUUGUGUACCUGAGCAUGAACAGGAAAAGAUCCUACGCAAGUGUCACUCCGGGUCUUAUGGAGGACACCACGCUGGAGAUAGGACUGCACAUAAGGUAUUGCAAUCUGGUUUUUAUUGGCCUACUCUCUUCAAGGAUGCCCGUAAGUUUGUCUUGUCUUGUGAUGAAUGUCAAAGAAUUGGUAAUAUUAGUAGACGUCAAGAAAUGCCUAUGAAUUAUUCUCUUAUUAUUGAACCGUUUGAUGUUUGGGGCUUUGAUUAUAUGGGACCUUUUCCUGCCUCUAAUCGAUACACACAUAUUCUAGUUGAUGUUGAUUACGUUACUAAGUGGGUAGAAGCUAUUCCAACUAGUAGUGCUGAUCAUAACACUUCUAUUAAAAUGCUUAAGGAAGUUAUUUUCCCGAGGUUUGGAGUCCCUAGAUAUUUAAUGACUGAUGGUGGUUCACACUUUAUUGAUGGUGCUUUCCGUAAAAUGCUUGCUAAAUAUGAUGUUAAUCAUAGAAUUGCAUCCCCUUAUCACCCACAGUCUAGUGGUCAAGUAGAGUUGAGCAAUAGAGAGCUCAAAUUAAUUUUGUAAAAGACUGUUAAUAGGUCUAGAAAGAAUUGGUCCAAGAAACUUGAUGAUGCAUUAUGGGCUUAUAGAACUGCAUAUAAAAAUCCCAUGGGUAUGUCUCCAUAUAAAAUGAUUUAUGGAAAAGCAUGUCACUUACCUCUCGAACUAGAACAUAAGGCAUAUUGGGCUAUUAAAGAGCUUAACUAUGAUUUUAAACUUGCCGGUGAGAAGAGGUUAUUUGAUAUUAGCUCACUUGAUGAAUGGAGAACCCAAGCUUAUGAAAAUGCCAAGUUGUUUAAAGAAAAAGUUAAAAGAUGGCAUGACAAAAGGAUACAAAAGCGUGAGUUUAAUGUAGGUGAUUAUGUAUUGCUAUACAACUCUCGUUUAAGAUUUUUUGCAGGAAAACUUCUCUCUAAAUGGGAAGGCCCUAUGUUAUCGAAGAGGUCUAUCAUUCCGGUGCCAUAAAAAUCAACAACUUCGAGGGCACAAAUCUGAAGGUGGUAAACAGUCAAAGAAUCAAACAUUAUAUCUCAGGUAAUCCCAUAAAUGUUGAAACCAAUAUUAUUGAAACCGUAACCCCGGAGGAGUACAUAAGGGACACUUUCCGGAACGUUUCAGACUCCGAAAAGGAAUAGGUAUGUGGUACGGUAAGUAAACCGACUCCAAAACAGUUUUAAGGCAAUAUUUCUCUGUUUUGGAAUAUUUAGAAAAAUAGAAAAAUAAGUAGCAGUCCGGGAAGGACACGAGGGCCCCACGAGGGUGGUGGGCGCGCCCUACCCCCCUGGGUGCGCCCCCCUACCUCGUGAGCACCUCGUGUGCCUUCCGGACUCCGUUUUCUUGCACGAUACGUAUUUUGGACGGUAAAAAUUCAUUAUAUAUUCUCCCGGGGGUUUUGACUCCCGUAUCACGCAAAAAUCUCCUGUCUUUGUUUCGAGCUGUUUUUCUGACAGAUCUAGAUUAUCAUGAUGUCCCCAAGUGCUUCCAAGGACAAGUUCUUCGAGAAGGUCAUCAACCCUUACCUCGCGGAGGUGUUGCGACACCCUCAAACCAUUGAGAUACGUGAUGGGUUGUUGCACAUCCGCGAUGUUGAGGGACCAAAUGGAAUCGGAAGCGUGGAGACGAGGCUCGAAGCAAUGGAUGUCAGAGUAAUGGGCCACGGGUAGGCCAACCCGAGGCCCAGAACCUUUCAAGACAUCGGGGUAGGUUGUGCCCCUCAAGGCCCUAGGACGAAGAGCCGCCUUCAAGAAGUCAAUGGCAAGACGGCCGACUGACCACUCGCGGCCGAGUCCCAGGGAGGACCGCAGGGUAAGCCGACUCCUGACUGGAGACUUCCGGAGAAGCCGGCUUUGGGGAGUCGGCCUGCGACUCCAACAAACCCGUGACCUCAUCAAGGGGGACGGGGCGGGAGAGUGGCUAUAGUGAAGCCCACUCCCGCCCCUUACCAAGGGCGGGCAUGGCCACAGCACGCCGUACCCCGGAAGAUCUCCGUGCGGCGUGGCACUGUUGCCAUGCCGGCCCUGACAUCAGCACCGCAGGACCGAAUCCUGCACCCACGACGGCUUCUUUGUACGGCUCAGAGGCAGCGGGUCCCACCAGUCGGUGAGACCCCAGGAGACGGCAAGAGGACCACCAGUCGAACCCGUCGGGAGUUGGCCCGGGGGAGUCGGCCGAGCCCUCCCCCGGGGCCCACGCACCAUUAAUCAAGAUGUGAUGGAGAGUGGCAAUAGUGAUCGCCCGCCAGGCGGCGGGGCUGUUGCCACGACCCCAUGAUCAAGCCCGCGUCAUCAGAAGCACGACACAGUAAUCGGCAGCCGGCAAGACCCGCCCACGGCGGAUGCGGCCUGUUGGCUCCGUACUAGGCUAGUCGGCGGGCCCCAGCGGUCGGCGGGGAAGACGGAGGCCAGAGGCGCUGACGGUUGGGCCCGUGUCCCGCCGGAUUACCAUUGUACCCCUGGGGGGUAGGCCUAUAUAAACCCCCUAGGGCACCCAUGCAAAGGGUUGGAACCCAUUAGCUCUAGGCCAGAUCAUAUAGAAGGGAUAGAGCUAGCCUUUCCCUCUCCUACCUCCAAGAAACACCUCAAGGAGCAACCGUGUAAACACUUCGCCAUAGUGGUCAUGCGGAGACCUCGCAGAGCAGCAGUAGGGGUAUUAUCUCCCCGGAGAGCCCUGAAGCUGGGUAAGUUUCGCCGGCGUGCAUGCCUUCGCCUCAUCCCGUUUCCAGGCACCGGCGACGUUCUACUCGCCCCCACCAUGAUAAGCCAUCCUUUGGCAUAUGUCGCACCAAACCCCCGACAAUGGAGCAACAAAAUUUCAAGUGCCAGGGGAUGGUGGAGCGUGGAAUCAACGCUAGCCACACGAUGCUCGCGGAGUUCACUAACAACUACAAUCCGGAUGCCAAGAACACCGAGGAGGCCAUCUUCAAGCUAUAUGAGAAGAUCGAGCACCUCCAAGCCCAAAUCUAUGACCUGCAAAACCAAAAUUGUGAGUAUGAAUAUAGAUUCAAAAGAAUGAGUUUGGCUGCAGAUUCGAGGAUUCUGGAGACUCGAUCAUCCUUCUAUGAUGGUGAACCUAUGCCUUGGAAGAUGGAUGACAAGCCCGCAUCAUCAACAACACCUCGACCUUCUUCACCAACCAAGGAGACAUAAUCACAUGGGUAUGGGCACUCCCCUUGGCAACUGCCAAGCUUGGGGGAGGUGCCCCGGUAUCGUAUCACAAUCACAACUCCUAUCUUUACCGUUUUUCUUAGUUCGAUCCUAUCAGUAGUAUCUUGAUCUAGUAGAAUAAAGUUUAUGGCAUGAUCUAGUUUUGAGUUUGCUUUAUGAUCUCUCUAUGUAAUCGAGUCCGUGAGCUAUAUAUAAUAAAGAUUAGUGUUGAGUCAAGGGCUAGAUUAUUUUGCCGUGAUCUUGGGUGAAUAAAAGAAAGAUAAAAAGAGUAAAAAGAAACAAAAAGUUCAUACUGAUCUUAUUGAGAGUAAUGACUUCACAUAGAAAGAGUAUGAUAUGUUUCAGACUCCGAAAAGGAAUAGGUAUGUGGUACGGUAAGUAAACCGACUCCGAAACAAUUUUUAAGGCAAUAUUUCUCCGUUUUGGAAUAUUUAGAAAAAUAGAAAAAUAAGCAGCAGUCCGAGAAGGACACGAGGGCCCCACGAGGGUGGUGGGCCCGCCCCCUACCUCGCGAGCACCUCGUGUGACUUCCGGACUCCGUUUUCUUGCACGAUACGUAUUUUGGUCGGUAAAAAUUAUUAUAUAUUCUCCCGAAGGUUUUGACUCCCGUAUCACGCAAACCUCCUCUGUUCUUGUUUCGAGCUGUUUUCUAUCAGGGUUUUCCAGGCUAGGCAUCAUGUCGUCUCCCUCCUCCAACAAUGGUGACAACGAUGCUUGGCUAAUGAAGAUAGAUCUAAAGAGGAAAGAACCCACGAGGGUCAACAAGGAUGAAAGGAUCAAGAAGGCCAUGGAGGAUCAAGCUCCAGCAGCAAAAGACACCCUUCAAAUUGAUCAACCUUCUUACCCCAACUGAGAUCAAAGCUUUCAAGAUGACUGAGUUAGCUCGUGUUCAAAACAAGUAUCUCACACAAGAAAAUAUUUUGUUGAAGGAGUAUAUUGUUGCACUCAAGGGCAUUAUUCGCAAGCUGGAGGACCUCUUACGCUCGAUGUGCGAUUAUCCAUCACCGCCACCUUCUUCACCAACCAAGGAGACAUAAUCGCAUGGGUAUGGGCACUCCCCUUGGCAACUGCCAAGCUUGGGGGAGGUGCCCCGGUAUCAUAUCACAAUCACAACUCCUAUCUUUACCGUUUUUCUUAGUUCGAUCCUAUUAGUAGUAUCUUGAUCUAGUAGAAUAAAGUUUAUGGCAUGAUCUAGUUUUGAGUUUUGCUUUAUGAUCUCUCUAUGUAAUCGAAUCCGUGAGCUAUAUAUAAUAAAGGUGUUGAGUCAAGGGCUUGAUUAUUUUGCCAUGAUCUUGGGUGAAUAAAAGAAAAGAGAAAAAGAGUAAAAAGAAACAAAAAGUUCAUAUUGAUCUUAUUGAGAGUAAUGACUUCACAUAGAAAGAGUAUCAUGAUUAAAAGUUGUUGGGAGUUGGCAGACAUAGCUUUGGUCAUUGUUGUAAUUAAUAGGAAGUAAUAAGGAAAGAGAGGUUUUCACAUAUAGAUAUAUUAUCAUUGACAUCUUUUAUGAUUGGGAGCACUCAUUAAAAUAUGACAUGCUAAAGAGUUGAUGUUGGACAAGGAAGACAAUGUAAUGAGUUAUGUAUUUCUUAUAUCUGAGAUAAAGUAUGUUGUAAUGGAUCCUCUAACUUGUUGAGCUUGCCUUUCCCCCUCAUGCUAGCCAAAUUCUCAGCACUAAGUAGAAAUACUACUUAUGCUUCCAAAUAUCCUUAAACCAGUUUUGCCAUGAGAGUCCACCAUAUCUACCUAUGGAUUGGUGUGGGAGAAAUAAGCUUUAUACGAUCUUGUGAUGUGGAAGUAAUAAAAGCGAUGGACUGCAUAAUAAAGUUCCAUAUCAUAAGGGGCAAUAUAAAGUGACGUUCUUUCGCAUUGAGAUUUUACGCAUCAAACCAUAAAAGCGCAUGGCAACCUCUGCUUCCCUCUGCGAAGGGCCUAUCCUUUAUCAUUAUCUUCUACCUUAUGCACGAGUCAUGGUGAUCUUCACCUUUUCUUUUUCGUUUUAUCCUUUGGCAAGCUCAACAUGUUGGAAAGAACAUGAUAUAUAUAUAUAUAUAUAUAUAUAUAUAUAUAAAAUUGGAUGUAGGGGAGCAUGAACCAUUAUUGUUGACAUUACCCUUGAGGUAAAAGGUUGUGGGGAAAAUCUAUAAGCUCCUAUCUUUCUCUAUGUCCGACUAAAACUCCGUAACCACAAGUAUUGCGUGAGUGUUAGCAAUUAUGGAGGACUAAAUGAUAGUUGAGUAUGUGGACUUGCUUUUUAGCUCUGACGUAGAAUCUUUCCGAUGUUAUGAUAAAUUGCAAUUGCUUCAAUGACUCAGAUUAUAGUUUGUCGAAGCCCAAUAAGGUUUAUGAUUUAUGCUUUUGCAUUGUGAAUAGAUCAUCAUUUGAACAUAAGUAAUCAUAUGACAAUAUAUAUAUAUGUUGCUGUUAUGAGAAUAAUCAUGAUGCCUUCAUGUUCGUAUUUUAUUUUUAUCGACGCCUCUACCUCUAAACAUGAGGACAUAUUUAUUGUUAUCGGCUUUUCGCUUGAGGACAAGCGAGGUCUAAGCUUGGGGGAGUUGAUACGUCCAUUUUGCAUCAUGCUUUUAUAUCGAUAUUUAUCGCAUUAUGGAUUGUUAUUUCACUUUAUGUCACAAUACUUAUGGCUAUUCUCUCUUAUUUUACAAGGUUUACAUAAGGAGGGAGAAUGCCGGAAGCUGGAAUUCUGGUCUGGAAAAGGAGCAAAUAUUAGAGACCUAUUCUGCGCAACUCCAAAAGUCCUGAAACUCCACGAAACGUCUUAAAAGAAAUAAAGAAAAAUCCAUGCCAAAGAUGAAGGCCAGGGGGCCCACACCCUGCUCACGAGGGUGGGGGGCACCCCCCCUAGGGCGCGCCCCCUACCUCGUGGCCCCCUGGUGGCUCUCCGACGUCCAUCUUCUCCUAUAUGAGGUCUUUCGAUGAGAAAAAAAUAGGAGGGAACUUUUCGGGACGAAACUCCGCCGCCACGAGGCAGAACCUUGGCGGAUCCAAUCUAGAGCUCCGGCAGAGCUGUUCUGCCGGGGAAACUUCCCUCCGGAAGGGGGAAAUCAUCACCAUCGUCAUCACCAACGCUCCUCUCAUCGGGAGAGGGCAAUCUCCAUCAACAUCUUCACCAGCACCAUCUCAUAUCCACACCCUAGUUCAUCUCUUGUAUCCUAUUCUUGUCUCAAAGUCCGGGAUUGGUGCUAGUAGGUUGCUAGUAGUGUUGAUUACUCCUUGUAGUUGAUGCUAGUUGGUUUAAUUGGUGGAAGAUCAUAUGUUCAGAUCCUAUAUGCAUAUUAUUACCCCACUGAUUAUGAACAUGAAUAUGCUUUUUGAGUAAUUACGUUCGUUCCUGAGGACAAGGGAGAAGUCUUGCUAUGAGUAGUCAUGUGAAUUUGGUAUUCGUUUGAUAUUUUGAUAAGAUGUAUGUUGUCUAGCCUCUAGUGGUGUUAUGUGAACAUCGACUACAUAACACUUCACCAUUAUUUGGGCCUAGAGGAAGGCAUUGGGAAGUAAUAAGUAGAUGAUGGGUUGCUAGAGUGACAGAAGCUUAAACCCUAGUUUAUGCGUUGCUUCGUAAGGCAGCCUAUGUCAAAGGAAAGAGCUCCAACUGAGCAAGAAAAUAGUUUAUUGAAGGGAAUUAUAGAGAAAGGAGUGUACAAAAGCCUUGCCGGGAGUAAGCAAUUCGAGGAAACUGUGCGCAAGCAAGGAAUGCACCAGAAGAAUCAAGGUGUUGGUUUUGAACGAAAGUUCAAUGCCAAUGGAGUUGAGUGGGAAGAAGAUCAAUAGCCCAAGACAAAGUUUGUUCCUCAACAAGAGAAGUAUGAUACUUCUUUCAAGGGGACACAAGCUCAAGAUGAUCUUCCACCACAAGACUACAAGCAAAAAGGCAAGGACAAGCUUCAAGAGGAAAUUGAUGCAUUUGAAGAAGCUCCUAAGACCUUAGUCAAGUGGAUUCCCAAGACUACUUCAAGUUCCACUUCAUCAAGUACGACUACAACUCCAAGGAUUCCCAUCAAGAUGGUGUGGAUCCAAAAGAAGAAGAACUAGAGAGUUCUUGAGGGUGACUCCGCCAACAUACUUCACUCUUAUUAUUUUGGCAAGAACAAGUGCAAUCAACUUCCACAUCUUGCACUAGUUCAAGGAGUCACAAACCCUCUUGUUGGUAAGACAAGGGACAAGGUAACCUAAAAGUUUUCAUGGACAUCAUCUUGUGUGUGCAUUACUCUAUGUCUAUGGACAUCCUUGUUUGUUCCUUGUGGGACUAACCCAUGUAGGUAUUGAAAGUGCAAUUCACUCAAAUGGAUAGCUCCAAGUGAUCUACAUCAACAUUGAGCGUCCACAUCUUCAACAUCUACAUGAAGUCAUCAUCGACAAAACCCAAGGUUAGUUCAUCCCUCUUAGGGGGGAUAUCACAUCUAGGGGGAGCUUUACUCUAAGACUUGAGCUAAAGCAACUCUAAAGAUGUGAACACAACAAUGCUUUAUGUAAAAGUGGUAACCCCACUUGAGCUUAAACGAUGAGUAUGACCUAUGAUCAAGUGUUCUCACUUGACUCCUAAGUCAAUAUACUCAUAUAUAGAUGACCUAGUCAUCGCAAAUUGCUUGAUAGAUGCUAGAAUUGGUUGUGCAUGCCUUGUCACAUAUUUCAUUUGACAUCUUAUUGUGUGAGCAUGCUGGUUGCAUAUUUUACUCAUUCGAGGACAUCCACUUGUUGUUUUGAUUGUUCGGUUUUAUUUCUUUUUGCCAAGUGGAUGGACAAGAAUGCCUAAGAACCUCCUCUAGCUAUCUAUGCUUUUCUCGUCUCAAACUCUUUUCAUGCUACAUCACAAAAUUUGAUCAAGUCAGAUUCGAACCACUCUGUGUGAGGAGCGCUCGGAGUCCCCGAUUUGUCAUAGACUUAAACUUCCAAAACCUCUUUAUGAUUCUCGGUCUGACCGAUACCCCACUUUCGGUCCUACCGAGAUCAUUAAGUUGAUCUAGGUUUUCUCCGAACCCCUUCGCCCGCGCGAUAGCCUGCUCUGCCAACGUGGUCUCCAGAUCGUCUUCUCGCCGCCAGCCGCCUCCAGUCACUGGUCUCCAUCGCCGUCAACGGGAAUUCUGCCCCGCUGUUGCCGCCGUAGCGAGUCUCCGCCGAACUAGGCUAUGGACUCGAUCUUUGUGUUAUUCUCCAAUCCGAUUCUUAGCACAUUGUGAUCAUCAUGAUUCUUUCCACGAUUGAAACACUCCUAUCCAGUCAAUACGCUCAUAGAUUAGGUUUGAUUCGAAAAUUUUAGGGUUAGGUUUCCACCGAAACCAUCUCGGACCCACCGAGUUGAAAAACUCGGUCCCACCGAUUUGGCUUAUGCCAUUGCACAAGUGAGACUCGGUCUGACCGAGAAUUACUUAUCGGUGUGACCGAUUUUGGAACUCUGUGAAACCCUAGCAGUCUCGGUGCCACCAAACUGUGACUCGGUCUGACCGAGUUCACUAGUUUAGGUGCCAAAACUGCUUCGGUAUCACCGAGUUUAAAAAUCGGUAGAUCCGAAAUGAUUUCAGUGGGAAACUAAAACUAAGUUUUUGGAUCAUUCUUUUGCAAAAAUCUCUGCAUUUUGUGAUGCUCAUCUAUUCUACCUCAUCUAUAAUCUGUUCACAGGGUCAACAGUCAGCUUGUUCAUCAUGUCAGACCAGAGUGACAGCCAGAACAUGUCAGAAGAGCAGGUGCAGAUGAGUGAGGGCACUAGUCCCUCAAGUUCUUCAGAUGAUGGCAGCAGGAGUACUCCUAGCAAUUUGCCAAAAGCUGCCACCAGACAGAGGAAGAAGAGAACUUCUGAUUCUGAAGAUGAAGAUUAUGUGGCAGAGGAAGAGGCCACAUCAAAGAGAAUUGAGCCAGCUCAAGGCACAAAGCCAGGUUUGAAAAUCAAAAGGCCAACAGGCAGGCAUCCCAUGUCAAAGGCAAGAGCUUCAACUGAAAAGCCUGCACCCAAAGAGCCAGUUGCUGCUGAAGGCAAGAAGAGGAAGGAAAGGGUCAAGAAGACCGUGGCGAGAGUGCUUGGAAAGGCUUCCAUCAUGGAAGAGGAAGAGGAAGAAGAGGUAGUUGCACCAGCACCUAAGGCACCCAAGCUGAUGGGUGAUGCUAUCAAAUCAGGGGCUGCUGCAUCUAAGCCCAAAGAAGCACCCAAAGCUGCCUCCAAGCCAAAACCAAAGAGGAAUACAAGGAACAUACCUGCAGCUAAGAAGAACAAGGCCCCAGUGCCUGAGACUGUUGCUGAAGAAGAGGAUGAAGAGCAAGUUCUUACAAAGCUCAAGCCCAAGAUCCCAGACCACAACGAUGCUCAUCCUGUGGCUGAGGAUAUGAAGCCCGGGAGAGACUCAGGGCUGAGGAAGUGGAGAGAAGCAGACCCGUAUGCUUCAAGGAGGAGGACUGCUGUGGACUACAGAUUUCACACCAAGGAGCAGCAAGAUUUCUAUGAGACAGUGCUGCUUGAUAAGAAGCCAAUAGUCUGUGAUAUGAGAUGGGUUGACUGGCAAUACAUCAAGGACAAUGAGGAACACUACCCUGGAGUGUAUGACAGCUUUAGUGCUUGUGGAGUUGCAGACUUUGUUGGGCAGAAGCUCACAAAGUGGAACAAGGAGCUCAUUAUGCAAUUCUACUCCACGACACAUUUUUAUCCAGAUGGAAGGAUCACUUGGAUGUCUGAAGGUACGAGGUACCAAUCUACUGUUAAGGAAUGGGCAAAGUUGAUCAAUGCCCCAGAGGAGCAAGCAGAUGACUUGGACAUUUAUGCCAAGAAAAAGAUGGAUCAUAACUCAAUGGCCAACAUGUACAAGGAAAUUCCCAAUGAAGCUCUUGACAUCUUCAAAUUUGGGUAUGUGCAUUACCUUCUGUCAGGACUGCCAACUAUAAAUUGGAUAUUGAGGCACGCUCUCUUGCCCAAGUCUGGAGAUCACAAGAUGAUCAGAGGCCAUGCAAUCAACUUGCUUCAUGUCUUUGAUGUGCCACAGAAGUUCAAGGUCAUGAGCCUCAUAGUAGAAACUAUCAAGAGGACUGCAGCAGAUCAGAAGAGGAGCUGUGGAUAUGCCCCUCAGAUUCAGGAGCUCAUCAACUCUAAGAUGGGCACGGGCAUAUAUUUAUUGGACAAGGAACAUCUGCCCAUCCGUCCAGAUUUUGAGGACAAUCAAGUUGUCAUGACUGAGAAUGAGCCAUCGUCUGCCCAAGCACAAGCAAAGAAGGAGAAGGCAAGGAAGGAGAAAGCUGCCAAGAUGCCAACUCAAGAGGAGGCAUCUGAGUACUUCUUGAAAACCAAACAAGAGCAGUUUGGUUACCUGAUUGCAUCCACCCUGCGGAUUGAGAAAGGACUAGCCACCCUAACUCAGAACCAGGCAAGCCUAGAGAGAAUCAUGGAACAAAAGUUCUGUGACUUGGAUGUCAAGGUAACAGAGAUUCAGACUGCAGUGGAGCAGCUCCAAGAUGACAUGCAGGAGAGGAGAGGCAGGACUACAACUGAUGCCUUUGCCAGAGUGCCAAGAGGUCCGAGGUCGUCUGCAGUGCCAGUUCCUGACACAAGAGCAACUGCCUCAGCUCCAGCCACAGCCUCAGUUCCACCAGCUCCAGCAUCUACUUCAGCUCCAACUCCAGCAUCUACUUCAGUGUCUACAGAAGCCUUCGUCCUUGGAGUGAUCCGGACUCCACCACCACCUGAAGAUCAAGCCUGAGCGUCGAUCUAGUACUAUGCAUUUUCUAGGAACUUUUUGGUAACUUGUUGCCAAAGGGGGAGAAAAAUGUAUAGAUCAUAGGCUUCGAGAGAGAGAGUGUUGCCUUUUUCUCUCUUGCUUUAUUUGGUGGUUUUUCGAACUUUGUUUGCUUUUGAGUGCUUGAGAUACUACGUCAUUAUUUGUGAGACAUUGAUGAUCAUGUGUUUGAUCAUAAGCUACACUUAAUGCUUGAUGAAUGCUAUUAUCUUAUCUAUCUUAUGUGAUCAUUCACUAUUCUUGGUGAUGAGUGCAUGUAUUUCAUUCUUAUCAUUUUAAGCGCUCCACCAAGAUGUAUGUGACAUGGAAGAGUAACCCAUGACUCUAACUCAUUGUGCAUUUGCAGUCCAAAGCAAAUUUUAAAUAUGCACAAAUUUAGGGGGAGCUCUUACUUGUCACAUACUUCUCAAAGCGACGAUAUAUUUCAUGCUUAUUAUCAUUUGUCGAAGCUUUGAGCUAUAUGUUGUCAUCAAUUACCAAAAAGGGGGAGAUUGAAAGUGCAACUAUCCCUAGGUGGUUUUGGUAAUUCAUAACAACAUAUAGCUCAUUGAGCUAAUGCUAUUCCAAGAUGAUUAUUUCAGGAAAGCUCAAUGAUUGGCAUGGCAUGGAUGUGAAAGUGGAACCCUCAAAAUGCUAAGGACAAAGGAUUGGCUCAAGCUCAAAAGCUCAAGACUCUUCAUUUUACAUUUUAGUGAUCCAAGAUCACAUUGAGUCUUUAGGAAAAGCCAAUACUAUCAAGGAGGGAUGAGGUGUUGCUUAAUGAGCCUCUUGCUUCAUGUGCUUAGUGAUAUGCUCCAAAACCCUCAACUACUUUCCCAUAUCCACAUAUGACCAAAACCCUAAGCCAAACUCGGUCCUACCGAUUCUUCCUAUCCGGCGCCACCGAGUUUCAUUUGUCAUAAGCCACUGCCAAAACCCUAGCAAAUCGGUGCUACCGAUAGGGAUCUCGGUCUCACCGAGAUGGGGUUGCAAACUCUCUGUUUCCCUUUCGUAACUUUUCGGUCUCACCGAAAGAGCGAAUCGGUCCCACCGAGAUUGCAAUGUAAAUUCAGUGUUUCCUUUUUGUAACUUUUCGGUCUCACCGAAAGAGCAAAUCGGUCCCACCGAGUUUGCCUGACCAACUCGCUGGUUAGCUAAUUACCAAAUUCGGUCCCACCGAGUUUGUGUAAUCGGUCUCACCGAGAUUACGUUAUGCCCAAACCCUAACCAUAUCGGUCCUACCGAGUUGCAUGUCAGUCCCACCGAAAAUCUCUAACGGUCACUAGGUUUACCUUUCCGGUCCGACCGAGUUUGUUGAUUCGGUCCCACCGAGAUUGGAAAACUGUGUGUAACGGUUGGAUUUUGUGUGGAGGCUAUAUAUACCCCUCCACCUCCUCUUCAUUCGUGGAGAGAGCAAUCAGAACACAUACACAAUUCCAACUCAUAUGUUCUGAGAGAGAACCACCUACUCAUGUGUUGAGACCAAGAUAUUCCAUUCCUAUCAUAUGAAUCUUGAUCUCUAGCCUUCCCAAGUUGCUUUCCACUCAAAUCUUCUUUCCACCAAAUCCAAAUCCUACGAGAGAGAGUUGAGUGUUGGGGAGACUAUCAUUUGAAGCACAAGAGCAAUGAGUUCAUUACCUACACACCAUUUGUUACUUCUUGGAGAGUGGUGUCUCCUAGAUUGGCUAGGUGUCACUUGGGAGCCUCCGACAAGAUUGUGGAGUUGAACCAAGGAGUUUGUAAGGGCAAGGAGAUCGCCUACUUCGUGAAGAUCUACCGCUAGUGAGGCAAGUCCUGUGUGGGCGAUGGCCAUGGUGGGAUAGACAAGGUUGCUUCUUUGUGGACCCUUUGUGGGUGGUUGCUUCUUUGUGGACCCUUCGUGGGUGGAGCCCUUUGUGGACUCGCGCAACCGUUACCCUUUGUGGGUGGAGCCCUGUGUGGACUCGCGCAACCGUUACCCUUUGUGGGUUGAAGUCUCCAUCAAUGUGGAUGUAGGAUAGCACCACCUAUCCGAACCACGGGAAAAACAUCCGUGUCUCCAAUUGCGUUUGAAUUCUCCAAACCCUUCCCCUUACAUUCUUGCAAGUUGCAUGCUUUACAUUCCGCUGCCAAUAUACUCUUUGCAUGCUUGCUUGAAUUGUGUGAUGAUUGCUUGACUUGUCCUACAAUAGCUAAAAUCUGCCAAGAACUAAAAUUGGGAAAAGGUUAAGUUUUUAUUUGGUCAAGUAGUCUAAUCACCCCCUCUAGACAUACUUUCGAUCCUACAAGUGGUAUCAUAGCUUUGGUCUCCAUUUGUUUUGAUCUCCAUAGCUUUUGGUAGUCAUAGCCUUGGUUUCACAACCUAGGAGAGUAUGGCAUCUAGCGAGGGAAAUUAUCACCGUAGAGGUCCUUACUUUGAUGGUACUAAUUUUGCUAGUUGGAAGCAUAAAAUGAAAAUGCAUAUUCUUGGACAUAACCCUGCCGUUUGGGCUAUUGUGUGUGUUGGUUUGCAAGGUGACUUCUUUGAUGGGAAAGAACCAAACCGUGAAGCUAUCGCAGAUGAGUUGAAGAUGUUGCAAUACAAUGCUCAAGCUUGUGAUAUUCUCUUCAACGGAUUGUGCCCCAAAGAAUUCAACAAAAUUAGCCGUCUUGAGAAUGCAAAGGAAAUUUGGGACACUUUGAUUGAUAUGCACGAAGGUACCGACUCCGUCAAGGAAUCCAAGUUGGAUGUGCUUCAAAGUCAACUUGACAAGUUCAAGACGAAGGAUGGUGAAGGUGUCGCUGAAAUGUACUCUAGGCUUGCUCUCAUCACAAAUGAGAUUGCCGGCUUAGGAAGUGAAGAGAUGACCGAUAGAUUCAUCAUCAAGAAGAUCCUAAGAGCCUUGGAUGGAAAAUAUGAUACCGUGUGCACAUUGAUCCAAAUGAUGCCCAAUUACAAAGAUCUCAAGCCAACGGAGGUGAUUGGAAGAAUUGUUGCUCACGAGAUGUCACUUAAGGAUAAAGAGGAACUUCACAACAAGUCAAGUGGUGCCUAUAAAGCCUCAUGUGAAGCCCCCACAUCAUCAAGUGAGAAACAAGACUUUAAUGAAGAAUUGAGCUUAAUGGUGAAGAACUUCAACAAGUUCUUCAAGAGUAGAAGCAAAGAUAGAAGCUUCAAGUCAAGGUCCUACAAUGACAAAAGAUCUUCUAGUCGAGAGAGAAACUGCUACAGUUGUGGAAGACCCGGACACUAUUCCAAUGAGUGUACGGCUCCCUACAAGAGAAGAGAAGAUUCUCCAAAAAGAAGAAGCAAAGGAUCACCACCAAGAGAGAGAAGGAGUAGAGAUGAUCGUUAUGAACGAAGAUACUCACGGAGAAGCAAGGAUUCGGAAAGGAAGGAAAAAUCAUCAAGGAGCUACACAAGACGAAGACAUCAAGCUCAUGUUGGUGAAUGGGUAUCCGGCUCCGACUCCGACAGCCACUCUGAGAGAAGUUAUCACUCCGACUCCGAAGAUACUCAAGAUGAAGGUGUUGCCGGUCUAGCACUUGUGUCAACCAACUCCUACGACAUAUUUGACUCACCAAAUGAAGGAGUUGGAAGAUGCUUCAUGGCCAAAGGUCCUAAGGUAACACAUCCCGAGUAUGUUGAUUUCAAUAGUGAUGAAGAUGACUUGUUAGGUGAUGAUUUGCUUGUUGACAACUCUAGUGAUGAAUACUAUGAUGAAAGACCAAUUAAUCAUGCUAAUCAAGAUAAAACGAAUGACAAUGAUAAGGAGAAGAUUGAGGCUCUAACUAAAGAAUUAAACACUCUUAAUUUAGCUCAUGAAACUAUCUUCAAAGAUCAUCGAGAACUUUUAAGAUCUCAUGAGAAAUUACGCUUUGAAAAGCUCAAUCUUGAGCAAGAGCAUGAGUUCUCAAAAGCAAUCAAUGAUGAUCUCCGCAAGAAAAGUUCUUCGCAUAUUGCCAAGCGUUUACUCUUAUCCACUUACAUGCCUCAAGUCAAGUCUAGUAACAAGAACAAGAAAGAUUCUUCCUCUAGCAGUAACAAUGAUCAUGCUAAAUCCAAUAUUAUUGCUUCUAGUAGUUCUCUUGAUUCCACUAAUGAUUCUCUUAGCCAAGUUACACUUGAGCAAGAAAAUAGUUUAUUGAAGGGAAUUAUAGAGAAAGGAGUGUACAAAAGCCUUGUCGGGAGUAAGCAAUUCGAGGAAAUUGUGCGCAAGCAAGGAAUGCACCAAAAGAAUCAAGGUGUUGGUUUUGAACGAAAGUUCAAUGCCAAUGGAGUUGAGUGGGAAGAAUAUCAAUAGCCCAAGACAAAGUUUGUUCCUCAACAAGAGAAGUAUGAUACUUCUUUCAAGGGGACACAAGCUCAAGAUGAUCUUCCACCACAAGACUACAAGCAAAAAGGCAAGGACAAGCUUCAACAGGAAAUUGAUGCAUUUGAAGAAGCUCCUAAGACCUUAGUCAAGUGGAUUCCCAAGACUACUUCAAGUUCCACUUCAUCAAGUAUGACUACAACUCCAAGGAUUCCCAUCAAGAUGGUGUGGAUCCAAAAGAAGAAGAACUAGAGAGUUCUUGAGGGUGACUCCACCAACAUACUUCACUCUUAUUAUUUUGGCAAGAACAAGUGCAAUCAACUUCCACAUCUUGCACUAGUUCAAGGAGUCACAAACCCUCUUGUUGGUAAGACAAGGGACAAGGUAACCUAAAAGUUUUCAUGGACAUCAUCUUGUGUGUGCAUUACUCUAUGUCUAUGGAUAUCCUUGUUUGUUCCUUGUGGGACUAACCCAUGUAGGUAUUGAAAGUGCAAUUCACUCAAAUGGAUAGCUCCAAGUGAUCUACAUCAACAUUGAGCGUCCACAUCUUCAACAUCUACAUGAAGUCAUCAUCGACAAAACCCAAGGUUAGUUCAUCCCUCUUAGGGGGGAUAUCACAUCUAGGGGGAGCUUUACUCUAAGACUUGAGCUAAAGCAACUCUAAAUAUGUGAACACAACAAUGCUUUAUGUAAAAGUGGUAACCCCACUUGAGCUUAAACGAUGAGUAUGACCUAUGAUCAAGUGUUCUCACUUGACUCCUAAGUCAAUAUACUCAUAUAUAGAUGACCUAGUCAUCGCAAAUUGCUUGAUAGAUGCUAGAAUUGGUUGUGCAUGCCUUGUCACAUAUUUCAUUUGCCAUCUUAUUGUGUGAGCAUGCUGGUUGCAUAUUUUACUCAUUCGAGGACAUCCACUUGUUGUUUUGAUUGUUUGGUUUUAUUUCUUUUUGCCAAGUGGAUGGACAAGAAUGCCUAAGAACCUCCUCUAGCUAUCUAUGCUUUUCUCGUCUCAAACUCUUUUCAUGCUACAUCACAAAAUUUGAUCAAGUCAGAUUCGAACCACUUUGUGUGAGGAGCGCUCGGAGUCCCCGAUUUGUCAUAGACUUAAACUUCCAAAACCUCUUUAUGAUUCUCGGUCUGACCGAUACCCCACUUUCGGUCCUACCGAGAUCAUUAAGUUGAUCUAGGUUUUCGAUCUCGGUGCAACCGAUUUGAACUUUUCGGUCACACCGAGUUUCAGUAACUGCUUAUAGUUAUGAAUCUCGGUGCCACCGAGUUGUUCCACUCGGUCACACCGACAGGGUCGGGCUAUAUAUAGUCACGGGCAAAAUUUGGAAAUUUCUCCGAACCCCUUCGCCCGCGCGAUAGCCUGCUCUGCCAACGUGGUCUCCGGAUCAUCUUCUCGCCGCCAGCCGCCUCCAGUCGCUGGUCUCCAUCGCCGUCAAUGGGAAUUCUGCCCCGCCGUUGCCGCCGUAGCGAGUCUCCGCCGAACUAGGGUAUGGACUCGAUCUUUGUGCUAUUCUCCAAUCCGAUUCUUAGCACAUUGUGAUCAUCAUGAUUCUUGCCACGAUUGAAACACUCCUAUCCAGUCAAUACGCUCGUAGAUUAGGUUUGAUUCAAAAAUUUUAGGGUUAGGUUUCCACCGAAACCAUCUCGGACCCACCGAGUUGAAAAACUCGGUCCCACCGAUUUGGCUUAUGCCAUUGCACAAGUGAGACUCGGUCUGACCGAGAAUUACUUAUCGGUGUGACCGAUUUUGGAACUCUGUGAAACCCUAGCAGUCUCGGUGCCACCAAACUGUGACUCGGUCUGACCGAGUUCACUAGUUUAGGUGCCAAAACUACUUCGGUAUCACCGAGUUUAAAAAUCGGUAGAUCCGAAAUGAUUUCAGUGGGAAACUAAAACUAAGUUUUUGGAUCAUUCUUUUGCAAAAAUCUCUGCAUUUUGUGAUGCUCAUCUAUUCUACCUCAUCUAUAAUCUGUUCACAGGGUCAGCAGUCAGCUUGUUCAUCAUGUCAGACCAGAGUGACAGCCAGAACAUGUCAGAAGAGCAGGUGCAGAUGAGUGAGGGCACUAGUCCCUCAAGUUCUUCAGAUGAUGGCAGCAGGAGUACUCCUAGCAAUUUGCCAAAAGCUGCCACCAGACAGAGGAAGAAGAGAACUUCUGAUUCUGAAGAUGAAGAUUAUGUGGCAGAGGAAGAGGCCACAUCAAAGAGAAUUGAGCCAGCUCAAGGCACAAAGCCAGGUUUGAAAAUCAAAAGGCCAGCAGGCAGGCAGCCCAUGUCAAAGGCAAGAGCUUCAACUGAAAAGCCUGCACCCAAAGAGCCAGUUGCUGCUGAAGGCAAGAAGAGGAAGGAAAGGGUCAAGAAGACCGUGGCGAGAGUGCUUGGAAAGGCUUCCAUCAUGGAAUAGGAAGAGGAAGAAGAGGUAGCUGCACCAGCACCAAGGCACCCAAGCUGAUGGGUGAUGCUAUCAAAUCAGGGGCUGCUGCAUCUAAGCCCAAAGAAGCACCCAAAGCUGCCUCCAAGCCAAAACCAAAGAGGAAUACAAGGAACAUACCUGCAGCCGAGAUCAUAUGUUCAGAUCCUAUAUGCAUAUUAUUACCCCACUUAUUAUGAACAUGAAUAUGCUUUUUGAGUAAUUACGUUCGUUCCUGAGGACAAGGGAGAAGUCUUGCUAUGAGUAGUCAUGUGAAUUUGGUAUUCGUUUGAUAUUUUGAUAAGAUGUAUGUUGUCUAGCCUCUAGUGGUGUUAUGUGAACGUUGACUACAUAACACUUCACCAUUAGUUGGGCAUAGAGGAAGGCAUUGGGAAGUAAUAAGUAGAUGAUGGGUUGCUAGAGUGACAGAAGCUUAAACCCUAGUUUAUGCGUUGCUUCGUAAGGGGCUGAUUUGGAUCCAUAUGUUUCAUGCUAUGGUUAGGUUUACCUUAAUACUUUUGUUGUAGUUGCAGAUGCUUGCAAUAGAGGUUAAUCAUAAGUGGGAUGCUUGUUCAAGUAAGAACAGCACCCAAGCACCGGUCCACCCACAUAUCAAAUUAUCAAAGUAUCAAACGCGAAUCAUAUGAACGUGAUGAAAACUAGCUUGACGAUAUUCCCAUGUGUCCUCGGGAGCGCUUUUCCUAUUAUAAGAGUUUGUUCUGGCUUGUCCUUUGCUACAAAAGGAUUGGGCCACCUUGCUGCACUUUAAUUACUUUUGUUACUUGUUGCUCGUUACAACCUAUCUUAUCACAAAACUAUCUGUUACCACUUAUUUCAGUACUUGCAGAGAAUACCUUGCUGAAAACCGCUUAUCAUUUCCUUCUGCUCCUCGUUGGGUUCGACACUCUUACUUAUCGAAAGGACUACCAUAGAUCCCCUAUACUUGUGGGUCAUCAGGGUCAUACCUCCGAUUCGGUGGAACCACGCGGAACGGCUCGGCCCACAACUCCCUCGUCUCUCUCCCAGUCUCCAUAUGUGCCCCCGGAGGCCACUCCCACCUCUCCCCCUCUCCGGCGAGGCCUCUCCCUCGCCUCCCAAUGGGGCGACGGCGAGCUACCAGCGGGGCGGGUGAGCAGCGAGCUGCCAUGUGAGGAAGAUACUCUCCACACCCGCUCUCCCCUUUCUCGAUCUGCGCCUGCAUUGCUGCCAUGGGAGCGGAGCAGUUGCGACGGUCUAGGAGCAUGGGAGCAGUGGGGCGAGCUAGCAGCGGCAGAGGACGCAAAUGGCAGGAGGAGGUGAGCGACGAAGUGGGGAGGCAAGCAACGCAUCAGCCAUCCUGGCGUGGAUCUGGUGUCAAGCCUUGUGCAGAUCCUCGGGGUCGUCAGGCUCGAAGGCUAGCAAGCCAGCGACGGAACUGUUGACCUUCCUCCCGACGCCCAUGAUUGACGUCAUCCCGUCUCAUACCUGGCGCCGCCGGUGGGAGUCCCUCGCCUGUUGGUAAAGGCACUGGAUCGAUUCAUCCAGAGGAGAUAGAUGUAUGUUGAAAGCUAGCUCAAACCACCUUGAUCGAUUGAUCCAGCAGCUUGUUGUGAAGCCAACAUGGGCUAGCUUGCUCACAUCGAUCCGAUUACAUCCAAUUCGAUUGAUCCAGCAGCUUGCUGUGAAGCCGGCAUAGGCAUGCCACUUGAUGUUUUUUAUCUUUGUAUGCGUUGUUUGUUUGAUGUCAAAAUUCAAUUCAGUGUAAAUAUUCAGUCAAAAAUGUCGCUGAGAAUAUAGCUACAACUGUUCAUAUUAGAUCAGCUGAACUAAAUCCAUACGAUUCCAUCUCUUCAAUCGAACACUCAAAUGUAAUCAUUCCAUUCCACUCAAUUGUCCCUACCAAACACAGGAACGGAACCAACCCAUUCCUAUGGAAUGGAACNNNNNNNNNNNNNNNNNNNNNNNNNNNNNNNNNNNNNNNNNNNNNNNNNNNNNNNNNNNNNNNNNNNNNNNNNNNNNNNNNNNNNNNNNNNNNNNNNNNNNNNNNNNNNNNNNNNNNNNNNNNNNNNNNNNNNNNNNNNNNNNNNNNNNNNNNNNNNNNNNNNNNNNNNNNNNNNNNNNNNNNNNNNNNNNNNNNNNNNNNNNNNNNNNNNNNNNNNNNNNNNNNNNNNGAGGAAACACUAUGGAGCAAGUAGAGAGACUAGGAAGGGAGAGAGAAAACGAUGGAAAGAACUCUACCUAGUCAUCUGAUUCUUUGGGCACACGAUUCUGUGGGCAGUUUCCCAAAAUCAGAUUCUGGAGAAUCAUGAGGCGAAAAGAACUGCCCCUUACUUCUUCAUAUCAUGUUCAUCUCCUUCAUCAUGUCUCUGCAUUCUUAAUAUGGACGAACUCUUCUUCCUUAUGUACAUUGCCACAAUUCUUUCAUCUAGUCUGAUCCAGUGCUUUCUAUUCCGUUCAGAUUCACCUAAUUUCUUUGCUUCGCUUAUUCAACUACUAUUCGUAUUAUGUGCAUUACUAAUACGGUAUCUUUCCGAGCGGAGUUUGAUGGAUUAAAGCUGCAAUUUGAUAGGCAAAUUAUUUCUUUACUCCUUCUUUUAUGCCACUAUUCUUGCUUACUCACAUAGGCCAUUCAUAUGUUUCUAUAUGCCAUUUUAUCGAGUGAGUGGAUUUAUCGAUGCAGAUUUGUGGAACUCAUAUCAUCUGAUGCAAAUUCUUGUUUACCUACUCAUAUUUUUUUAGAAAAGGAGGAAAUACCCCCGGCCUCUGCAUCUGGACGGUGCAUGCAGCCACAAAGACCUUACAAACUAAUACAUCAGUAAACCUGAAGCCACCAUAUUGGCAACACCUACCACUACUAUCCCCUUAAUGAAGGGGUGCUGAAUGUCCAAGCUGAAUACCAAACAGACAACACAUCAAAGCCUAACAUCUAAAGUCGGGUACACCAUCCAAGCCACAAUGCGUGGACAGGAUCACACACCGGUCCGGCGCACUCUCAGUGGGCACCACAUGCGCACGCUGCAAGGGCCGUCACCAUCGUCUUCCAUCGAUCCAUCUUUCAGAGCAGAUACUGACGCAUCGACCUUGCCAGGCUCUCUGCCAUUGAUGCCACCAUGAUGCCUGAUGACCCACAAGUAUAGGGGAUCUAUCGUAGUCCUUUCAAUAAGUAAGAGUGUCGAACCCAACGAGGAGCAGAAGGAAAUGAUAAGCGGUUUUCAGCAAGGUAUUCUCUGCAAAUACUGAAAUAAGUGGUAACAGAUAGUUUUGUGAUAAGAUAGGUUGUAACGAGCAACAAGUAACAAAAGUAAAUAAAGUGCAGCAAGGUGGCCCAGUCCUUUUGUAGCAAAGGACAAGCCGGAACAAACUCUUAUAAUAGGAAAAGAGCUCCCGAGGACACAUGGGAAUAUCGUCAAGCUAGUUUUCAUCAUGUUCAUAUGAUUCGCGUUCGAUACUUUGAUAAUUUGAUAUGUGGGUGUACCGGUGCUUGGGUGUUGUUCUUACUUGAACAAACAUCCCACUUAUGAUUAACCUCUAUUGCAAGCAUCCGCAACUACAACAAAAGUAUUAAGGUAAACCUAACCAUAGCAUGAAACAUAUGGAUCCUAAUCAGCCCCUUACGAAGCAACGCAUAAACUAGGGUUUAAGCUUCUGUCACUCUAGCAAGCCAUCAUCUACUUAUUACUUCCCAAUGCCUUCCUCUAGGCCCAAAUAAUGGCGAAGUGUUAUGUAGUCGACGUUCACAUAACACCACUAGAGGCUAGACAACAUACAUCUUAUCAAAAUAUCAAACGAAUACCAAAUUCACAUGACUACUCAUAGCAAGACUUCUCCCUUGUCCUCAGGAACGAAUGUAAUUACUCACAAAGCAUAUUCAUGUUCAUAAUCAGAGGGGUAAUAAUAUGCAUAUAGGAUCUGAACAUAUGAUCUUCCACCAAUUAAACCAACUAGCAUCAACUACAAGGAGUAAUCAACACUACUAGCAACCUACUAGCACCAAUCCUGGACUUUGAGACAACAAUUGGAUACAAGAGAUGAACUAGGGUUUGGGGAUGAGAUGGUGCUGGUGAAGAUGCUGAUGGAGAUUGCCCUCUCCUGAUGAGAGGAGCAUUGGUGAUGACGAUGGUGAUGAUUUCCCCCUCCCCGAGGGAAGUUUCCCCGGCAGAACAGCUCUGUCGGAGCUCUAGAUUGGAUCUGCCAAGGUUCCGCCUCGUGGCGGCGGAGUCUCGUCCUGAAAAGUUCCCUCCUAUUUUUUCUCAUUGAAAGACCUCAUAUAGGAGAAGAUGGACGUCGGAGAGCCACCAGGGGCCCACGAGGUAGGGGGGCGCAGCCUAGGGGAGCGCCCCCCACCCUCGUGAGCAGGGUGUGGGCCCCCUGGCCUUCAUCUUUGGCGUGGAUUUUUCUUUAUUUCUUUUAAGACGUUCCGUGGAGUUUCAGGACUUUUGGAGUUGCGCAAAAUAGGUCUCUAAUAUUUGCUCCUUUUCCAGACCAGAAUUCCAGCUGCCGGCAUUCUCCCUCCUUAUGUAAACCUUGUAAAAUAAGAGAGAAUAGCCAUAAGUAUUGUGACAUAAAGUGAAAUAACAGUCCAUAAUGCGAUAAAUAUCGAUAUAAAAGCAUGAUGCAAAAUGGACGUAUCAACUCCCCCAAGCUUAGACCUCGCUUGUCCUCAAGCGAAAAGCCGAUAACAAUAAAUAUGUCCUCAUGUUUAGAGGUAGAGGCGUCGAUAAAAAUAAAAUACGGACAUGAAGGCAUCAUGAUUAUUCUCAUAAUAGCAACAUAUAUAGAUUUUGUCAUAUGAUUACUUAUGUUCAAGUGAUGAUCUAUUCACAAUGCAAAAGCAUAAAUCAUAAACCUUAUUGGGCUCCGACAAACUAUAAUCUCAGUCAUUGAAGCAAUUGCAAUUUAUCAUAACAUCGGAAAGAGUCUAUGUCAGAGCUAAAAAGCAAGUCCACAUACUUAACUAUCAUUUAGUCCUCCAUAAUUGCUAACACUAACGCGAUACUUGUGGUUACGGAGUUUUAAUCGGACACAGAGAAAGAUAGGGGCUUAUAGUUUUGCCCCACAACCUUUUACCUCAAGGGUAAUGUCAACAAUAAUGGUUCAUGCUCCCCUACAUCCAAUUAGAUAUAUAUAUCAUGUUCUUUCCAACAUGUUGAGCUUGCCAGAGGAUAAAAUGAAAAAGAAAAGGUGAAGAUGACCAUGAAUCUUGCAUAAGGUAGAAGAUAAUGACAAAGGAUAGGCCCUUCGCAGAGGGAAGCAGAGGUUGCCAUGCGGUUUUAUGGUUUGAUGCAUAAAAUCUCAAUGCGAAAGAACGUCACUUUAUACUGCCCCUUGUGAUAUGAACCUUUAUUAUGCAGUUUGUGGCUUUUAUUACUUCCACAUCACAAGAUCGUAUAAAGCUUAUUUCUCCCACACCAAUCAAUCAUACAUAUUUAGAGCAAUUUUUAUUGCUUUGCACCAAUGACAACUUACUUGAAGGAUCUUACUCAAUCCAUAGGUAGAUAUGGUGGACUCUCAUGGCAAAACUGGUUUAAGGAUAUUUGGAAGCACAAGUAGUAUUUCUACUUAGUGCUGAGAAUUUGGCUAGCAUGAGGGGGAAAGGCAAGCUCAACAAGUUAGAGGAUCCAUUACAACAUACUUUAUCUCAGAUAUAAGAAAUACAUAACUCAUUACGUUGUCUUCCUUGUCCAACAUCAACUCUUUAGCAUGUCAUAUUUUAAUGAGUGCUCCCAAUCAUAAAAGAUGUCAAUGAUAAUAUAUCUAUAUGUGAAAACCUCUCUUUCCUUAUUACUUCCUAUUAAUUGCAACAAUGACCAAAGCUAUGCCUGCCAACUCCCAACAACUUUUAAUCAUCAUACUCUUUCUAUGUGAAGUCGUUACUCUCAAUAAGAUCAAUAUGAACUUUUUGUUUCUUUUUACUCUUUUUCUCUUUUCUUUUAUUCACCCAAGAUCAUGGCAAAAUAAUCAAGCCCUUGACUCAACACCUUUAUUAUAUAUAGCUCACGGAUUCGAUUACAUAGAGAGAUCAUAAAGCAAAACUCAAAACUAGAUCAUGCCAUAAACUUUAUUCUACUAGAUCAAGAUACUACUAAUAGGAUCGAACUAAGAAAAACGGUAAAGAUAGGAGUUGUGAUUGUGAUAUGAUACCGGGGCACCUCCCCCAAGCUUGGCAGUUGCCAAGGGGAGUGCCCAUACCCAUGCGAUUAUGUCUCCUUGGUUGGUGAAGAAGGUGGCAGUGACGGAUAAUCGCACAUCGAGCGUAAGAGGUCCUCCAGCUUGCGAAUAAUGCCCUUGAGUGCAACAAUAUACUCCUUCAACAAAAUAUUUUCUUGUGUGAGAUACUUGUUUUGAACACGAGCUAACUCAGUCAUCUUGAAACCUUCGAUCUCAGUUGGGGUAAGAAGGUUAUGAUCAAUUUGAAGGGUGUCUUUUGCUGCUGGAGCUUGAUCCUCCGUGGCCUUCUUGAUCCUUUCAUCCUUGUUGACCCUCAUGGGUUCUUCCCUCUUUAGAUCUAUCUUCAUUAGCCAAGCAUCGUUGUCACCAUUGUUGGAGGAGGGAGACAACAUGAUGCCUAGCCUGGAAAACCAUGACAGAAAACAGCUCGAAACAAGAACAGAGGAGGUUUGCGUGAUACGGGAGUCAAAACCUUCGGGAGAAUAUAUAAUGAAUUUUUACUGACCAAAAUAUGUAUUGUGCAAGAAAACGGAGUCUGGAAGUCACAUGAGGUGCUCGCGAGGUAGGGGGCGCGCCCAUGGGGGUAGGGCGUGCCCACCACCCUCGUGGGGCCCUCGUGUCCUUCCCGGACUGCUACUUAUUUUUCUAUUUUUCUAAAUAUUCCAGAACGGAGAAAUAUUGCCUUAAAAAUUGUUUCGGAGUCGGUUUACUUACCGUACCACAUACCUAUUCCUUUUCGGAGUCUGAAACGUUCCGGAAAGUGUCCCUUAUGUAUUCCUCCGGGGUUACGGUUUCAAUAAUAUUGGUUUCAACAUUUGUGGGAUUACCUGAGAUAUAAUGUUUAAUUCUUUGACCGUUUACCACCUUCGGAUUUAUGCCCUCGAAGUUGUUGAUUUUUAUGGCACCGGAACGAUAGACCUCUUCGAUAACAUAGGGGCCUUCCCAUUUAGAGAGAAGUUUUCCUGCAAAAAAUCUUAAAUGAGAGUUGUAUAGCAAUACAUAAUCACCUACAUUAAACUCACGCUUUUGUAUCCUUUUGUCAUGCCAUCUUUUAACUUUUUCUUUAAACAACUUGGCAUUUUCAUAAGCUUGGGUUCUCCAUUCAUCAAGUGAGCUAAUAUCAAAUAACCUCUUCUCACCGGCAAGUUUAAAAUCAUAGUUAAGCUCUUUAAUAGCCCAAUAUGCCUUAUGUUCUAGUUCAGGAGGUAAGUGACAUGUUUUUCCAUAAACCAUUUUAUAUGGAGACAUACCCAUGGGAUUUUUAUAUGCAGUUCUAUAAGCCCAUAAUGCAUCAUCAAGUUUCUUGGACCAAUUCUUUCUAGACCUAUUAACAGUCUUUUACAAAAUUAAUUUGAGCUCUCUAUUGCUCAACUCUACUUGACCACUAGACUGUGGGUGAUAAGGGGAUGCAAUUCUAUGAUUAACAUCAUAUUUAGCAACCAUUUUACGGAAAGCACCAUGAAUAAAGUGUGAACCACCAUCAGUCAUUAAAUAUCUAGGGACUCCAAACCUCGGGAAAAUAACUUCCUUAAGCAUUUUAAGCAUCUUGGUGACACGUAGCAGAAAUUCAAAAUUUUCCUACGUGUCACCAAGAUCUAUCUAUGGAGAGACCAGCAACGAGUAGAAAGAGAGUGCAUCUACAUACCCUUGUAGAUCGCUAAGCGGAAGCGUUCAAGUGAACGGGGUUGAUGGAGUCGUACUCGUCGUGAUUCAAAUCACCGAUGAUCCUAGUGCCGAACGGACGGCACCUCCGCGUUCAACACACGUACAGCCCGGUGACGUCUCCCACGCCUUGAUCCAGCAAGGAGAGAGGGAGAGGUUGAGGAAGACUCCAUCCAACAGCAUCACAACGGCGUGGUGGUGGUGGAGGAGCGUGGCAAUCCAGCAGGGCUUCGCCAAGCACCAUGGGAGAGGAGGAGUAGGAAGAGAGGUAGGGCUGUGCCAGAACUUCGUGUAUAGCUCCCAUGCGCCUCCCCACUAUAUAUAGGGGUGGAGGGGCUGGUUUCUUGCCCUCCAAGUCCAUUGGGGCGUUGGCCAAGGUGGGAGGAAAGAAAUCUCAUUAUUUCCUUCCCCACCGAUUGUUAUCCCCCCUUUUUAGGGAUCUUGAUCUUAUCCCUUCGGGAUAUGAUCUUGUUCCUUCUAAGGGGGGAUCUUGGUGCGCCUUGACCAGGGGUGUGGGGCCUUGCCCCCACUACCCACGUUCAUGUGGGUCCCCCCAUGCAGGUGGGCCCCACUUCGGAACCUUCUAGAACCUUCCCGGUACAAUACCGAAAAAUCCUGAACAUUUUCCGGUGGCCAAAAUAGGACUUCCCAUAUAUAAAUCUUUACCUCCGGACCAUUCCGGAACUCCUCGUGACGUCCGGGAUCUCAUCCGGGACUCCGAACAACAUUUGGUAACCACAUACAAACUUCCUUUAUAACCCUAGCGUCAUCGAACCUUAAGUGUGUAGACCCUACGGGUUCGGGAGACAUGUAGACAUGACCGAGACGUUCUCCGGUCAAUAACCAACAGCGGGAUCUAGAUACCCAUGAUGGCUCCCACAUGUUCCACGAUGAUCUCAUCGGAUGAACCACGAUGUCAAGGACUUAAUCAAUCCCGUAUUCAAUUCCCUUUGUCUAUCGGUAUGUUACUUGCCCGAGAUUCGAUCGUCGGUAUCCAAUACCUUGUUCAAUCUCGUUACCGGCAAGUCACUUUACUCGUUCCGUAACACAUCAUCCCGUGAUCAACUCCUUGGUCACAUUGCGCAUAUGAUGAUGUCCUACCGAGUGGGCCCAGAGAUACCUCUCUGUUUACACGGAGUGACAAAUCCCAGUCUCGAUCCGCAUAAAACAAUAGAUACUUUCGGAGAUACCUGUAGUGCACCUUUAUAGUCACCCAGUUACGUUGUGACGUUUGAUACACCCAAAGCACUCCUACGGUAUCCAGGAGUUACACGCUCUCAUGGUCGAAGGAAGAGAUACUUGACACUGGCAAAGCUCUAGCAAAUGAACUACACGAUCUUUUGUGCUAGUCUUAGGAUUGGGUCUUGUCCAUCACAUCAUUCUCCUAAUGAUGUGAUCCCGUUAUCAACGACAUCCAAUGUCCAUAGCCAGGAAACCAUGACUAUCUGUUGAUCACAACGAGCUAGUCAACUAGAGGCUCACUAGGGACAUAUUGUGGUCUAUGUAUUCACACGUGUAUUACGAUUUCCGGAUAAUACAGUUAUAGCAUGAAUAAAAGACAAUUAUCAUGAACAAGGAAAUAUAAUAAUAAUACUUUUAUUAUUGCCUCUAGGGCAUAUUUCCAACAGUCUCCCACUUGCACUAGAGUCAAUAAUCUAGUUCACAUCGCCAUGUGAUUAACACUCACAGGUCACAUCGCCAUGUGACUAAUACCCAAGAGUUUACUAGAGUCAGUAGUCUAGUUCACAUCACUAUGUGAUUAACACUCAAUGAGUUUUAUGUUUGAUCAUGUUGCUUGUGAGAGAGGUUUUAGUCAACGGGUCUAAACCUUUCAGAACCGUGUGUGCUUUACAAAUCUAUAUGUCAUCUCCUAGAUGCAGCUACCACGCUCUAUUUGGAGCUAUUCCAAACAACUGUUCUACUUGGAGCUAUUCUAAAUUAUUGCUCCAUUAUAUGUAUCCGGUCUCUCUACUCAGAGCUAUCCGGAUAGGUGUCAAGCUUGCAUCGUCGUAACCUUUACGACGAACUCUUUUACCACCUCCAUAAUCGAGAAAAUUCCUUAGUCCACUAGUUACUAAGGAUAACUUUGACCGCUGUCCUGUGAGCCAUUCUUGGAUCACUCUUGUACCCCUUGACUGACUCAUGGCAAGGCACACUUCAGGUGCGGUACACAGCAUAGCAUACUGAAGAGCCUACGUCUUAAGCAUAGGGGACGACCUUCGUCCUUUCUCUCUAUUCUGCCGUGGUCGAGCUUUAAGUCUUAACUUCGUACCUUACAACUCAGGCAAGAACUCCUUCUUUGACUGGUCCAUCUUGAACACCUUCAAGAUCAUGUCAAGGUAUGUGCUCAUUUGAAAAUAUUAUUAAGCAUUUUGAUCUAUCCUUAUAGAUCUUGAUGCUCAAUGUUCAAGUAGCUUAAUCCAGGCUUUCCAUUGAAAAACACUUUCAAAAUAACCCUAUAUGCUUUCCAGAAAUUCUACGUCAUUUCUGAUCAACAAUAUGUCAACAACAUAUACUCAUCAGAAAUUCUAUAGUGCUCCCACUCACUUCUUUGGAAAUACAAGUUUCUCAUAAACUUUGUACAAACCCAAAUUUUUUGAUCAUCAUCAAAGCAUACAUUCCAACUCCGAGAUGCUCACUCCAGUCCUUAGAAGGAUUGCUGGAGCUUUGCAUACUUAUUAGCAUCUUUCGGGAUUGACAAAACCUUCCGGUUGUAUCACAUACAACCUUUCCUCAUUAAAAUCAUCGAGGAAACAAUGUUUUGACAUCCUAUCUGCAAGAUUUCAUAAAUAAUGCAGUAAUCGCUAAUAUAAUUCCAACAGACUCUUAGCAUCGCUACGAGUGAGAAAAUCUCAUCGUAGUCAACUCCUUGAACUUGUCGGAAAACAUCUUAACGACAAGUCGAGCUUUCUUAAUGGUGACAUUUACCAUCAUUGUGCGUCUUCCUUUUGAAAUCCAUCUGUACUCAUUAGCCUUACGACCAUCGAGCCGUUCUGCCAAAGUCUACACUUUGUUUUCAUACAUGGAUCCUCUCUCGGAUUUUAUGGCCUCAAGCCAUUUAUCAGAAUCCAGGCCCACCAUCGCUUCUCCAUAGCUCAUAGGUUCAUUGUUGUCUAGCAACAUGACCUUCAAGACAGGAUUACGUACCACUCUGAAGUAGUACGCAUCCUUGUCAUCCUACGAGGUUUGGGAGUGACUUGAUCCAAAGUUUCAUGAUCAAUAUCAUAAGCUUCCACUUCAAUUGGUGUAGGUGCCACAGGAACAACUCCCUGUGCCCUGUCACACACUAGUUGAAGAUACGGUUCAAUAACCUCAUCAAGUCUCCACCAUCCUCCCACUCAAUUCUUUCGAGAGAAACUUUUCCUCGAGAAAGGACCCGAUUCUAGAAACAAUCCAUAUUGCUUUCGGAUCUGAAUUAGGAGGUAUACCCAACUGUUUUGGGUUUCCUAUGAAGAUGCAUUUUAUCCGCUUUGGGUUCGAGCUUAUCAACCUGAAACUUUUUCAUAUAAGCGUCGCAGCCCCAAACUUUUAAGAAACGACAACUUAGGUUUCUCUAAACCAUAAUUCAUACGGUGUCAUCUCAUCGGAAUUACGUGGUGCCCUAUUUAAAGUGAAUGUGGUUGUCUCUAAUGCCUAACCCAUGAACGAUAGUGGUAAUUCGAUAAGAGACAUCAUGGUACGCACUAUAUCCAAUAGGGUGCAACUAUGAUGUUCAGACACACCAUCACAUUAUGGUGUUCCAGGCGGUAUUAAUUGCGAAACAAUUUCCACAAUGUCUUAAUUGUGUGCCAAAACUCGUAACUCAGAUAUUCAUCUCUAUGAUCAUAUCAUAGACAUUUUAUCCUCUUGUCACAAUGAUCUGCUACUUCACUCUGAAAUUACUUGAACCAUUCAAUAAUUCAGACUUGUGUUUCAUCAAGUAAAUAUACUCAACAUUUACUCGAAUCAUCUGUGAAGUAAGAACAUAAUGAUAUUCACCGCAUGCCUCAACACUCAUUUGACUGCACACAUCAAAAUGUGUUACUUCCAACAAGUUGCUAUCUUGUUCCAUCUUACUGAAAAUGAGGCUUUUCAGUCAUCUUGCCCAUGUGGUAUGAUUUGCAUAUCUCAAGUGAUUCAAAAUCAAGUGAGUCCGAACGAUCCAUUUGCAUGGAGUUUCUUCAUGCAUAUACACCAAUAGACAUGGUUCGCAUGUCUCAAACUUUUUAAAAACGAGUGAGUCCAAAGAUCCAUCAACAUGGAGCUUCUUCAUGCGUUUUAUACCAUUAUGACUUACAUGGCAGUGCCACAAGUAAGUGGUACUAUCAUUACUAUCUUAUAUCUUUUGGCAUGAAAAUGUGUAUCACUACGACCGAGAUUCAAUAAACCAUUCCUUUAGGUGCAAGACCAUUGAAGGUAUUAUUCAAAAAUAGAGUAACCAUUAUUCUCCUUAAAUGAAUAACCGUAUUGCGAUAGACAUAAUCCAAUCAUGUCUAUGCUCAACGCAAACACCAAUCUCGGUGGUAGAGGGAGCGUGCGAUGCUUGAUCAUAUCAACCUUGGAAACACUUCCAACAUAUAUCGUCAGCUCACCUUUAGCUAGUCUCCGUUUAUUCCGUAGCUUUUAUUUCGAGUUACUAACACUUAGCAACCGAACCGGUAUCCAAUACCCUGGUGCUACUAGGAGUACUAGUAAAGUACACAUUAACAUAAUGUAUAUCCAAUAUACUUCUAUCGACCUUGCCAGCCUUCUCAUCUACCAAGUAUCUAGGGUAAUGCUGCUCCAGUGGUUGUUCCCCUUAUUACAGAAGCACUUAGUCUCGGGUUUGGGUUCAACCUUGGGUUUCUUCACUAGAGCAGCAGCUGAAUUGCCGUUUCAUGAAGUAUCCCUUUGUUCCCUUGCCCUUCUUGAAACUAGUGGUUUCACCAACCAUCAACAAUUGAUGCUCCUUCUUGAUUUCUACUUUCGCGGUGUCAAACAUCAUGAAUAUUUCAAGGAUCAUCAUAUAUAUCCCUGAUAUGUUAUAGUUAAUCACGAAGCUCUAGCAGCUUGGUGGCAAUGACUUUGGGGAAACAUCACUAUCUCAUCUGGAGGAUCAACUCCCACUCGAUUCAAGUGAUUGUUGUGCUCAGACAAUCUGAGCACAAGCUCAACGAUUGAGGUUUUCUCCCUUAGUUUGCAGGCUAAGAAAAUCGUCGGAGGUCUUAUACCUCUUGACGUGGGCACGAGCCUGAAAUCCCAAUUUCAGCUCUCGAAACAUCUCAUAUGUUCCGCGACGUUUCGAAAACGUCUUUGGUGCCUCUAAUUAAACCAUUUAAUUGAACUAUCACGUAGUUAUCAAAACGUGUAUGUCUGAUGUUCGCAACAUCGACAAACGACGUUGGGGUUCAGCACACUGAGCGGUGCAUUAAGGACAUAAGCUUUCUACUAAUCGCAUAAUCGCUACUAUCAACUUUCAACUAUAUUUUCUCUAGGAACAUAUCUAAACAGUGGAACUAAAGCGCGAGCUUACGACAUAAUUUGCAAAAGGUCUUUUGACUAUGUUCAGGAUAAUUAAGUUCAUCUUAUGAACUCCCACUUAGAUAGACAUCCCUCUGGUCAUCUAAGUGAUCACAUGAUCUGAGUCAACUAGGCCGUGUCCGAUCAUCACGUGAGACGGACUAGUCAUCAUCGGUGAACAUCUUCAUGUUGAUCGUAUCUACCAUACGACUCAUGCUCGACCUUUCGGUCUCCGUGUUCCGAGGCCAUGUCUGCACAUGCUAGGCUCGUCAAGUUAACCCUAAGUGUUUUCGCUGUGUAAAACUGUCUUACACCCGUUGUAUGUGAACGUAAGAAUCCAUCACACCCGAUCAUCACGUGGUGCUUAGAAGCGACGAACUGUAGCAACGGUGCACAGUUAGGGGAGAACACUUCUUGAAAUUGUUGUAAGGGAUCAUCUUAUUUACUACCGUCGUUCUAAGCAAACAAGAUGCAUAAACAUGAUAAACAUCACAUGCAAUCAAAUAGUGUAGUGACAUGAUAUGGCCAAUAUCAUAUAGCUCCUUUGAUCUUCAUCUUCGGGGCUCCAUGAUCAUCUUGUCACCGGCAUGACACCAUGAUCUCCAUCAUCAUGAUCUCCAUCAUCGUGUCUUCAUGAAGUUGUCACGCCAACGACUACUUCUACUUCUAUGACUAACGCGUUUAGCAAUAAAGUAAAGUAGUUUACAUGGCGUUCUUCAAUGACACGCAGGUCAUACAAUAAAUAAAGACAACUCCUAUGGCUCCUGCCGGUUGUCAUACUCAUCGACAUACAAGUCGUGAAUCCUAUUACAAGAACAUGAUCAAUCUCAUACAUCACAUAUAUCAUUCAUCACAUCCUUUUGGCCAUAUCACAUCACAUAGCAUACCCUGCAAAAACAAGUUAGACGUCCUCUAAUUGUUGUUUGCAUGUUUUACGUGGCUGCUAUGGGUUUCUAGCAAGAACGUUUCUUACCUACGCAAAACGACAACGUGAUAUGCCAAUUGCUAUUUACCCUUCAUAAGGACCAUUUUCAUCGAAUCCGUUCCGACUAAAGUGGGAGAGACUGGCACCCGCUAGCCACCUUAUGCACCAAGUGCAUGUCAAUCGGUGGAACCUGUCUCACGUAAGAGUACGUGUAAGGUCGGUCCGGGCCGCUUCAUCCCACAAUACCGUCGAAACAAGAUUGGACUAGUAACGGUAAGCAUAUUGAACAACAUCAACGCCCACAACUACUUUGUGUUCUACUCGUGCAAAGAAUCUACGCAAUAGACCUAGCUCAUGAUGCCACUGUUGGGGAACGUAGCAGAAAUUCAAAAUUUUCCUACGUGUCACCAAGAUCUAUCUAUGGAGAGACCAGCAACGAGUAGAAAGAGAGUGCAUCUACAUACCCUUAGAUCGCUAAGCGGAAGCGUUCAAGUGAACGGGGUUGAUGGAGUCGUACUCGUCGUGAUUCAAAUCACCGAUGAUCCUAGUGCCGAACGGACGGCACCUCCGCGUUCAACACACGUACAGCCCGGUGACGUCUCCCACGCCUUGAUCCAGCAAGGAGAGAGGGAGAGGUUGAGGAAGACUCCAUCCAACAGCAGCACAACGGCGUGGUGGUGGUGGAGGAGCGUGGCAAUCCAGCAGGGCUUCGCCAAGCACCAUGGGAGAGGAGGAGUAGGAAGAGAGGUAGGGCUGUGCCAGAACUUCGUGUAUAGCUCCCAUGCGCCUCCCCACUAUAUAUAGGGGUGGAGGGGCUGGUUUCUUGCCCUCCAAGUCCAUUGGGGCGUUGGCCAAGGUGGGAGGAAAGAAAUCUCAUUAUUUCCUUCCCCACCGAUUGUUAUCCCCCCUUUUUAGGGAUCUUGAUCUUAUCCCUUCGGGAUAUGAUCUUGUUCCUUCUAAGGGGGGAUCUUGGUGCGCCUUGACCAGGGGUGUGGGGCCUUGCCCCCACUACCCACGUUCAUGUGGGUCCCCCCAUGCAGGUGGGCCCCACUCCGGAACCUUCUAGAACCUUCCCGGUACAAUACCGAAAAAUCCCGAACAUUUUCCGGUGGCCAAAAUAGGACUUCCCAUAUAUAAAUCUUUACCUCCGGACCAUUCCGGAACUCCUCGUGACGUCCGGGAUCUCAUCCGGGACUCCGAACAACAUUCGGUAACCACAUACAAACUUCCUUUAUAACCCUAGCGUCAUCGAACCUUAAGUGUGUAGACCCUACGGGUUCGGGAGACAUGUAGACAUGACCGAGACGUUCUCCGGUCAAUAACCAACAGCGGGAUCUGGAUAUCCAUGAUGGCUCCCACAUGUUCCACGAUGAUCUCAUCGGAUGAACCACGAUGUCAAGGACUUAAUCAAUCCCGUAUUCAAUUCCCUUUAUCUAUCGGUAUGUUACUUGCCCGAGAUUCGAUCGUCGGUAUCCAAUACCUUGUUCAAUCUCGUUACCGGCAAGUCACUUUACUCGUUCCGUAACACAUCAUCCCGUGAUCAACUCCUUGGUCACAUUGCGCAUAUGAUGAUGUCCUACCGAGUGGGCCCAGAGAUACCUCUCUGUUUACACGGAGUGACAAAUCCUAGUCUCGAUCCGCAUAAAACAAUAGAUACUUUCGGAGAUACCUGUAGUGCACCUUUAUAGUCACCCAGUUACGUUGUGACGUUUGAUACACCCAAAGCACUCCUACGGUAUCCAGGAGUUACAUGCUCUCAUGGUCGAAGGAAGAGAUACUUGACAUUGGCAAAGCUCUAGCAAAUGAACUACACGAUCUUUUGUGCUAGUCUUAGGAUUGGGUCUUGUCCAUCACAUCAUUCUCCUAAUGAUGUGAUCCCGUUAUCAACGACAUCCAAUGUCCAUAGCCAGGAAACCAUGACUAUCUGUUGAUCACAACGAGCUAGUCAACUAGAGGCUCACUAGGGACAUAUUGUGGUCUAUGUAUUCACACGUGUAUUACGAAUUCCGGAUAAUACAGUUAUAGCAUGAAUAAAAGACAAUUAUCAUGAACAAGGAAAUAUAAUAAUAAUACUUUUAUUAUUGCCUCUAGGGCAUAUUUCCAACACUCUUUGACCUAGAACAACACCUACAGCAUAAUCACUAGCAUCACACAUAAUUUCAAAGGGUAAAUUCCAAUCAGGUGGCUGAACAACAGGUGCAGUGACUAAAGCUUUCUUAAGUAUUUCAAAUGCUUCUACACAAUCAUCAUCAAAGACAAAUGGUAUAUCUUUUUGCAAUAAAUUAGUCAGAGGCCGAGAAAUUUUUGAGAAGUCCUUAAUGAACCUCCUGUAAAAUCCGGCGUGACCAAGGAAACUUCUUAUACCUUUGAUGUCCUUGGGACAUGGCAUCUUUUCAAUAGCAUCAACCUUGGCUUUAUCAACUUCAAUACCUCUUUCAGAAACUUUGUGCCCCAAGACAAUACCUUCAUUAACCAUAAAGUGGCACUUUUCCCAAUUCAAGACAAGAUUAGUUUCUUCACAUCUCUGCAAAACGCGAUCAAGAUUGCUCAAGCAAUCAUCAAAAGAGGAACCAUAGACGGAAAAGUCGUCCAUGAAAACCUCACAAAUCUUUUCACAAAAGUCAGAGAAUAUAGCCAUCAUGCAUCUUUGAAAGGUAGCAGGUGCAUUACAUAAACCAAAAGGCAUACGUCUAUAAGCAAAAGUACCAAAAGGGCAUGUAAAAGUGGUCUUUGAUUGAUCUCUAGCCGACACGGGUAUUUGAGAGAAACCAGAAUAACCAUCUAGGAAGCAAUAGUGUGUAUGUUUGCAUAAUCUUUCUAGAAUUUGAUCAAUAAAAGGUAAGGGGUAAUGAUCUUUCUUAGUAGCUUUAUUUAAUUUGCGGAAAUCAAUUACCAUCCUAUAACCUGUGAUAAUUCUUUGUGGAAUCAAUUCAUCUUUAUCAUUAGGAACAACAGUAAUACCUCCCUUCUUAGGGACACAAUGGAUAGGACUUACCCACUCACUAUCAGCAACGGGAUAAAUUAUACCUGCCUCCAUAAGCUUGAGUAUUUCUUUUCUUACCACUUCUUUCAUUUUAGGAUUCAGACGUCGUUGAGGAUCACGAACUGGUUUGGCAUCUGCUUCCAAAUUUAUUUUAUGUUGACAUAGAGUGGGACUAAUGCCCUUAAGAUCAUCAAGAGUAUAUCCAAUAGCAGCACGAUGCUUCUUCGGAGUUUUCAAUAAUCUUUCUUCUUCAUGCUCUAAAAGGUUAGCACUAAUAAUAAUAGGAUAUAUCUUCUUUUCAUCAAGAUAAGCAUAUUUAAGAUUAUCAAGCAAAGGUUUAAGCUCGAACACGGGAUCACCCUUGGGUGGAGGAGGAUCCCCUAAAAUUUCAACAGGCAAAUUGUGAUGCAGAAUAGGUUCCUGUUUAAAGAAUACUUCAUCUAUUUCCCUUCUUUCAUUCACGAACAUAUCAUUUUCAUGGUCUAGCAAAUAGUGUUCUAAAGGAUCACUAGGAGGUACGGCAAUAGAAGCAAGACCAAUAAUUUCAUCCUUACUAGGUAAUUCUUCCUCAUGAUGUUGUUUACUAAAUUUAGAGAAAUUAAACUCAUGAGCCAUAUCAUCCAAGCCAGUAGUAACAACAUUCUUUGUGCAAUCUAUGGUAGCAUUGACAGUAUUUAAGAAGGGUCUACCAAAUAUAAUGGGACAAAAGCUAUCUUGUGGAGAAGUAAGAACAAGAAAAUCAGCAAGAUAUUUAGUUUUCCCACACAAGACUUCAACAUCUCCAACAAUUCCAAUUGGUGCAAUAGUAUCUCUAUUAGCAAGUUUAAUAGUAACAUCAAUAUCUUCUAACUCAACAGGUGCAAUUUCAUUCUUAAUUUCUUCGUAUAAAGUAUGUGGUAUAACACUAGCACUUGCACCCGUAUCACAUAAGCCAUGAUAACAAUGAUCUCCUAUUUUAACAGAAAUAACAGGCACGCCUACCACAUGUCUAUGUUUAUCUUUAGCACAAGGUUUAGCAAUUCUAGCAGUUUCACCUUCGAACUGAAUAACAUGCCCAUCAAUAUUAUCAGACAAGAAAUCUUUAACAAUAGCAAUAUUAGGUUCUACUUUAACUUGCUCAAGAGGUGUAUAAGUUCUAAUAUUGCUUUUACGAACAAUAGUUGAAGCUUUGGCAUGAUCCUUUAUUCUAACAGGGAAAGGUGGUUUCUCAACAUAAGAAGUAGUAACAAUAUGAUCAUUAUAAGUGACAGUCUUUUCUUCAACUUUAAUAGGUGCAGCUACUUUUACUUCUAUGGGAGGAUGAUAUUUAAACCACUUCUCCUUAGGGAGAUCAACAUAAGUAGCAAAAGAUUCACAGAAAGAAGCUACUAUCUCAGAGUCAAGUCCAUAUUUAGUGCUAAACUUACGGAAAAUAUCGGUAUCCAUAAAAGAUUUAACACAAUCAAACUUAGGUGUCAUACCUGACUCCUUACCUUCGUUGAGGUCCCAAUCUUCAGAGUUGCAUUUAAUUCUAUCCAAUAAAUUCCAUCUGAAUUCAAUAGUCUUCAUCAUAAAAGAGCCAGCACAAGAAGUAUCGAGCAUGGUGCGAUUGUUAUCAGAAAGCCGAGCAUAAAAACUUUGCAUAAUUAUUUUCUCGGAAGCUCGUGAUUGGGGCAUGAAUAUAACAUUGAUUUAAGCCUCCCCCAAGCUUGAGCGAUGCUUUCUCCUUCGCGAGGCUGGAAAUUAUAUAUAUAAUUGCGAUCACGAUGAACAAGAUGCAUAGGGUAAUACUUUUGAUGAAAUUCCAACUUCAAUCUUUUAUAGUCCCAUGAUCUCAUAUCAUCACAUAGCCUAUACCAUAUCAAUGCAUCUCCCUUCAAAGAUAAAGGGAAGACCUUCUUCUUAGAAACAUCAUCGGGUAUACCUGCAAGCUUAAAUAAUCCACAAACUUCAUCCACAUAUAUCAAGUGCUCAUCAGAAUGCUUUGUUCCAUCUCCUGUAAAAGGGUUAUCUAGCAGUUUUUCCAUCAUACCCGAAGGAAAUUUAAAAGGAGUUUCAUUUUCAAUCGGUUCAGUAGGUUGAGGAGCAACUCUUUGCUCUACUGGACGGGGUGAAGAUACCCCGAACAAGCCCCUUAGAGAAUUACUUUCCAUAGUAACAAGUGACAGUAAAUUUCAGCACACUAUAUAAAUUUUUCCUUACCAAAUUCCACCUACCAAAGGCGCUACACUCCCCGGCAACGGCGCUAGAAAAGAGUCUUGAUGACCCACAAGUAUAGGGGAUCUAUCGUAGUCCUUUCGAUAAGUAAGACUGUCGAACCCAAUGAGGAGCAGAAGGAAAUGAUAAGCGGUUUUCAGCAAGGUAUUCUCUGCAGGUACUGAAAUAAGUGGUAACAGAUAGUUUUGUGAUAAGAUAGGUUGUAACGAGCAACAAGUAACAAAAGUAAAUAAAGUGCAGCAAGGUGGCCCAAUCCUUUUGUAGCAAAGGACAAGCCGGAACAAACUCUUAUAAUAGGAAAAGCGCUCCCGAGGACACAUGGGAAUAUCGUCAAGCUAGUUUUCAUUGCGUUCAUAUGAUUCGCGUUAGAUACUUUGAUAAUUUGAUAUGUGGGUGGACCGGUGCUUGGGUGAUGUUCUUACUUGAACAAACAUCCCACUUAUGAUUAACCUCUAUUGCAAGCAUCCGCAACUACAACAAAAGUAUUAAGGUAAACCUAACCAUAGCAUGAAACAUAUGGAUCCAAAUCAGCCCCUUACGAAGCAUCGCAUAAACUAGGGUUUAAGCUUCUGUCACUCUAGCAACCCAUCAUCUACUUAUUACUUCCCAAUGCCUUCCUCUAGGCCCAAAUAAUGGUGAAGUGUUAUGUAGUCGACGUUCACAUAACACCACUAGAGGGUAGACAACAUACAUCUUAUCAAAAUAUCAAAGGAAUACCAAAUUCACAUGACUAGUCAUAGCAAGACUUCUCCCUUGUCCUCAGGAAUGAACAUAAUUACUCACAAAGCAUAUUCAUGUUCAUAAUCAGAGGGGUAAUAAUAUGCAUAUAGGAUCUGAACAUAUGAUCUUCCACCAAUUAAACCAACUAGCAUCAACUACAAGGAGUAAUCAACACUACUAGCAACCUACUAGCACCAAUCCCGGACUUUGAGACAAGAAUUGGAUACAAAAGAUGAACUCGGGUUUGGAGAUGAGAUGGUGCUGGUGAAGAUGUUGAUGGAGAUUGCCCUCUCCCGAUGAGAGGAGCGUUGGUGAUGACGAUGGUGAUGAUUUCCCCCUCCCGGAGGGAAGUUUCCCCGGCAGAACAACUCUGUCGGAGCUCUAGAUUGGAUCCGCCAAGGUUCCGCCUCGUGGCGGCGGAGUCUUGUCCCGAAAAGUCCCCUCGUGUUUUUUCUCAUCGAAAGACCUCAUAUAGGAGAAGAUGGACGUCGGAGAGCCACCAGGGGGGCCACGAGGUAGGGGGGCACGCCCUAGGGGGGGGGCGUCCCCCACCCUCGUGAGCAGGGUGUGCGUUGGAAAUAUGCCCCAGAGGCAAUAAUAAAAGGAUUAUUAUUAUAUUUCCUUGUUCAUGAUAAUUGUCUUUUAUUCAUGAUAUAAUUGUGUUAUCCGGAAAUCGUAAUACAUGUGUGAAUACAUAGACACCAACAUGUCCCUAGUAAGCCUCUAGUUGACUAGCUCGUUGAUCAACAGAUAGUCAUGGUUUCCUGACUAUGGACAUUGGAUGUCAUUGAUAACGAGAUCACAUCAUUAGGAGAAUGAUGUGAUGGACAAGACCCAAUCCUAAACAUAACACAAGAUCGUAUAGUUCGUUUGCUAGAGUUUUUCCAAUGUCAAGUAUCUUUUCCUUAGACCAUGAGAUCGUGUAACUCCCGGAUACCGUAGGAGUGCUUUGGGUGUACCAAACGUCACAACGUAACUGGGUGACUAUAAAGGUAUACUACGGGUAUCUCCGAAAGUGUCUGUUGGGUUGACACGGAUCAAGACUGGGAUUUGUCACUCCGUAUGACGGAGAGGUAUCUCUGGGCCCACUUGGUAAUGCAUCAUCACAAUGAGCUCAAAGUGACCAAGUGUCUGGUCACGGGAUCAUGCAUUACCAUACGAGUAAAGUGACUUGCCGGUAAUGAGAUUGAACGAGGUAUUGGGAUACCGACGAUCGAAUCUCGGGCAAGUAACGUACCGAUUGACAAAGGGAAUUGUAUACGGGGUUGCUUGAAUCCUCGACAUCGUGGUUCAUCCGAUGAGAUCAUCGAGGAGCAUGUGGGAGCCAACAUGGGUAUCCAGAUCCCGUUGUUGGUUAUUGACCGGAGAGCCAUCUCGGUCAUGUCUACAUGUCUCCCGAACCCGUAGGGUCUACACACUUAAGGUUCGGUGAUGCUAGGGUUGUAGAGAUAUAAUAUGCAGUAACCCGAAAGUUGUUCAGAGUCCCGGAUGAGAUCCCGGACGUCACGAGGAGUUCCGGAAUGGUCCGGAGGUGAAGAAUUAUAUAUAGGAAGUGCAGUUUCGGCCAUCGGGAGAGUUUCGGGGGUCAUCGGUAUUGUACCGGGACCACCGGAAGGGUCCCGGGGGUCCACCGGGUGGGGCCACCCAUCCCGGAGGGCCCCAUGGGCUAAGUGGGGAGGGGAACCAGCCCAUAGUGGGCUGGUGCGCCCCCCUUGGCCAACCCCAUGCGCCUAGGGUUGGGAACCCUAGGGUGGGGGGCGCCCCACCUGGCUUUGGGGGCUCUCCACCCCUUGGCCGCCCCCCCCUAGGAGAUCCUAUCUCCUAGGGCCGGCGCACCCCCUAGGGGGCCUAUAUAUAGGGGGGAGGGAGGGGCAGCCGCACCCCUUGAGUCUUGGCGCCUCCCUCGCCUCUGCUACACCUCUCCCUCUCGCAGUAGAACGGCGAAGCCCUACUGUGGUGACCCCUGCAUCCACCACCACGCCGUCGUGCUGCUGGAUCUUCAUCAACCUCUCCUUCCCCUUGCUGGAUCAAGAAGGAGGAGACGUCACGCUGACCGUACGUGUGUUGAACGUGGAGGUGCCGUCCAUUCGGUGCUAGGAUCUCCGGUGAUUUGGAUCACGUCGAGUACGACUUCCUCAUCCCCGUUCUUUGAACGCUUCCGCGCGUGAUCUACAAAGGUAUGUAGAUGCAAUCCGAUCACUCAUUGCUAGAUGAACUCAUAGAUGGAUCUUGGUGAAACCGUAGGAAAUUUUUUGUGUUCUGCAACGUUCCCCAAUAGUGGCAUCAUGAGCUAGGUCUAUGUGUAGUUCUCUUUGCACGAGUAGAACACAAUUUGUUGUGGGCGUAGAUCUUGUCAACUUUCUUGCCGCUACUAGUCUUAUUUUGCUUCAGCAGUAUCGUGGGAUGAAGCGGCCCGGACCAACCUUACACGUACUUUAGUUGGAGCGGAUUCGAUGAAAAGGGUCCUUAUGAAGGGUAAAUAGAAGUUGAUAAAUCAUGUUGUGGCUUUCACGUAGGUAAGAAAACGUUCUUGCUAGAACCCUAUUGUAGCCACGUAAAACUUGCAACAACAAUUAGAGGACGUCUAACUUGUUUUUGCAGCAAGUGUUUUGUGAUGUGAUAUGGCCAAAGUUGUGAUGAAUGAUGAAUGAUAUAUAUGUGAUGUAUGAGAUGUUCAUGCUAUUGUAAUAGGAAUCACGACUUGCAUGUCGAUGAGUAUGACAACCGGCAGGAGCCAUAGAAGUUGUCUUUAUUUUUUGUAUGACCUGCGUGUCAUUGAGAAACGCCAUGUAAAUUACUUUACUUUAUUGCUAAAUGUGUUAGCCAUAGUAGUAGAAGUAAUAGUUGGCGAGCAACUUCAUGGAGACACGAUGAUGGAGAUCAUGGUGUCAUGCCGGUGACAAGAUGAUCAUGGAGCCCCAAGAUGGAGAUCAAAGGAGCUAUGUGAUAUUGGCCAUAUCAUGUCACUAUUAUUAGAUUGCAUGUGAUGUUUAUCAUGUUUUUGCAUCUUGUUUACUUAGAACGACGGUAGUAAAUAAGAUGAUCCCUCAUAAUAAUUUCAAGAAAGUGUUCCCCCUAACUGUGCACUGUUGCGACAGUUCGUUGUUUCGAAGCACCACGUGAUGAUCGGGUGUGAUAGAUUCCAACAUUCACAUACAACGGGUGUAAGACAGAUUUACACAUGCAAACACUUAGGUUGACUUGACGAGCCUAGCAUGUACAGACAUGGCCUCGGAACACAGAAGACCAAAAGGUCAAGCAUGGGUCGUAUAGAAGAUACAAUCAACAUGAAGAUGUUCACCGAUGUUGACUAGUCCGUCUCACGUGAUGAUCAGACACGGCCUAAUUAACUCGAAUCAUGUUAUACUUAGAUGACUGGGGGGAUGUCUAUCUGAGUGGGAGUUCAUUAAAUAAUUUGAUUUAGAUGAACUUAAUUAUCAUGAACUUAGUCUAAAAUCUUUACAACAUGUAUUGUAGAUCAAAUGGCCAACGUUGUCCUCAACUUCAACGCGUUCCUAGAGAAAACCAAGCUGAAAGACGAUGGCAGCAACUACACGGACUGGGUCCGGAACCUGAGGAUCAUCCUCAUAGCUGCCAAGAAGGAUUAUGUCCUACAAGCACCGCUAGGUGACGCACAUGUUCUCCCUGCAGAACAAGACGUUAUGAACGCUUGACAGACAUGUACCGAUGAUUACUCCCUCGUUCAGUGCGGCAUGCUUUACAGCUUAGAACCGGGGCUCCAAAAGCGUUUUGAGAGACACGGAGCAUAUGAGAUGUUCGAAGAGCUGAAAAUGGUUUUUCAAGCUCAUGCCCGGGUCGAGAGAUAUGAAGUCUCCAACAAGUUCUUCAAUUGUAAGAUGGAGGAAAACAGUUCUGUCAGUGAGCACAUACUCACUAUGUCUGGGUUACAUAACCGCUUGACUCAGCUGGGAGUUAAUCUGCCGGAUGACGCGGUCAUUGACAGAAUCCUUCAGUCGCUUCCACCGAGCUACAAGAGCUUUGUGAUGAACUUCAAUAUGCAGGGGAUGGAAAAGACCAUUCCUGAAGUAUUUGCAAUGCUGAAAUCAGCAGAGGUAGAAGUCAAAAAGGAACAUCAAGUGUUGAUGGUGAAUAAAACCACUAAGUUCAAGAAAGGCAAGGGUAAGAAGAACUUCAAGAAGGACGGCAAGGGAGUUGCCGCGCCCGGCAAGCAAGCUGCCGGGAAGAAGCCAAAGAAUGGACCCAAGCCCGAGACUGAGUGCUUUUAUUGCAAGGAAAGUGGUCACUAGAAGCGGAACUGCCCCAAAUACUUAGCGGACAAGAAGGCCGGCAAAACGAAAGGUAUAUGUGAUAUACAUGUAAUUGAUGUGUACCUUACCAGUACUCGUAGUAGCUCAUGGGUAUUUGAUACCGGUGCAGUUGCUCACAUUUGUAACUCAAAGCAGGAGCUGCGGAAUAAGCGGAGACUGGCGAAGGACGAGGUGACGAUGCGCGUCGGGAAUGGUUCCAAGGUCGAUGUGAUCACCGUCGGCACGCUACCUCUACAUUUACCUACGGGGUUAGUUUUGAACCUCAAUAAUUGUUAUUUAGUGCCAAGUUUGAGCAUGAACAUUGUAUCAGGAUCUCGUUUAAUACGAGAUGGCUACUCAUUUAAAUCCGAGAAUAAUGGUUGUUCUAUUUAUAUGAGAGAUAUGUUUUAUGGUCAUGCUCCGAUGGUGAAUGGUUUAUUCUUAAUGAAUCUCGAGCGUAAUGCUACACAUAUUCAUAGUGUGAAUACCAAAAGAUGUAAGGUUGAUAAUGAUAGUCCCACAUACUUGUGGCACUGCCGCCUUGGUCACAUAGGUGUCAAAUGCAUGAAGAAGCUCCAUGCAGAUGGACUUUUAGAGUCUCUUGGUUACGAAUCAUUUGACACAUGCGAACCAUGCCUCAUGGGUAAAAUGACCAAGACUCCGUUCUCAGGAACAAUGGAGCGAGCAACCAACUUAUUGGAAAUCAUACAUACUGAUGUCUGCGGUCCAGUGAGUGUUGAGGCUCGCGGUGGCUAUCAUUAUGUUCUCACCCUCACUGAUGACUUGAGUAGAUAUGGGUAUGUCUACUUAAUGAAACACAAGUCUGAGACCUUUGAAAGGUUCAAGGAAUUUCAGAGUGAGGUUGAGAAUCAACGUGACAGGAAAAUCAAGUUCCUGCGAUCAGAUCAUGGAGGAGAAUACUUGAGUCACGAAUUUGGCACACACUUAAGAAAAUGUGGAAUAGUUUCACAACUCACGCUGCCUGGAACACCUCAGCGUAAUGGUGUGUCUGAACGUCGUAAUCGCACUCUAUUAGAUAUGGUGCGAUGUCUCUUACCGAUUUACCGCUAUCAUUUUGGGGCUAUGCUUUAGAAACUGCCGCAUUCACUUUAAACAGGGCUCCGUCGAAAUCCGUUGAGACGACACCGUAUGAAUUAUGGUUUGGGAAGAAACCUAAGCUGUCGUUUCUAAAAGUUUGGGGAUGCGAUGCUUAUGUCAAGAAACUUCAACCUGAAAAGCUCGAACCCAAGUCGGAAAAAUGCGUCUUCAUAGGAUACCAUAAAGAAACUAUUGGGUAUACCUUCUACCUCAGAUCCGAAGGCAAGAUCUUUGUUGCCAAGAAUGGAUCGUUUCUAGAGAAGGAGUUUCUCUCGAAAGAAGUAAGUGGGAGGAAAGUAGAACUUGAUGAACUAUUACCUCUUGAACCGGAAAGUGGCGCAACUCAGGAAAAUGUUCCUGUGGUGCCUGCACCAAUUAGAGAGGAAGUUAAUGAUGAUGAUCAAGAUACUUCUGAUCAAGCUCCUACUGAAAUUCGAAGGUCCACAAGGACACGUUCCGCACCAGAAUGGUACGGCAACCCUGUCUUGGAAAUCAUGUUGUCAGACAAUGGUGAACCUUCAAACUAUGAAGAAGCGAUGGCGGGCCCGGAUUCCGACAAAUGGCUGGAAGCCAUGAAAUCCGAGAUAGGAUCCAUGUAUGAAAACGAAGUAUGGACUUUGACUGACUUGCCGUUGAGCAGCGAGCCAUAGAAAAUAAAUGGAUCUUUAAGAAGAAGACAGACGCAGAUGGUAAUGUGACCAUCUAUAAAGCUCGGCUUGUCGCUAAGGGUUAUCGACAAGUUCAAGGGGUUGACUACGAUGAGACUUUCUCACCGGUAGUGAAGCUAAAGUCCGUCCGAAUCAUGUUAGCAAUUGCCGCAUUCUAUGAUUAUGAGAUAUGGCAAAUGGACGUCAAAACGGCAUUCCUUAAUGGUUUCCUUAAGGAAGAAUUGUAUAUGAUACAGCCGGAAGGUUUUGUCGAUCCUAAGAAUGCUGACAAGGUGUGCAAGCUCCAAUGCUCGAUUUAUGGGCUGGUGCAAGCAUCUCGGAGUUGGAACAUUCGCUUUGAUGAGAUGAUCAAAGCGUUUGGGUUUAUGCAGACUUAUGGAGAAGCCUGCGUUUACAAGAAAGUGAGUGGGAGCUCUGUAGAAUUUCUCAUAUUAUAUGUAGAUGACAUACUUUUGAUGGGAAAUGAUAUAGAGAUUUUGGACAACAUUAAGGCCUACUUGAAUAAGAGUUUUUCAAUGAAGGACCUUGGAGAAGCUGCUUAUAUAUUAGGCAUCAAGAUCUAUAGAGAUAGAUCAAGACGCCUCAUAGGUCUUUCACAAAGCACAUACCUUGAUAAGAUAUUGAAGAAGUUCAAUAUGGAUCAGUCUAAGGAGGGGUUCUUGCCUGUGUUGCAAGGUGUGAAAUUGAGCUCAGCUCAAUGUCCGACCAUGGCAGAAGAUAUAGAAGAGAUGAGUGUCAUCCCCUAUGCCUCAGCCAUAGGUUCUAUUAUGUAUGCCAUGCUGUGUACCAGACCUGAUGUAAACCUUGCCGUAAGUUUGAUAGGUAGGUACCAAAGUAAUCCCGGCAAGGAACACUGGACAACAGUCAAGAAUAUCCUGAAGUACCUGAAAAGGACUAAGGAAAUGUUUCUUGUUUAUGGAGGUGACGAAGAGCUCAUCGUAAAGGGUUACGUCGACGCUAGCUUCGACACAGAUCUGGAUGACUCUAAGUCACAAACCAGAUACGUGUAUAUUUUGAAUGGUGGGGCAGUAAGCUGGUGCAGUUGCAAGCAGAGCGUCGUGGCGGGAUCUACAUGUGAAGCGGAGUACAUGGCAGCCUCGGAGGCAGCGCAUGAAGCAAUUUGGGUGAAGGAGUUCAUCACCGACCUAGGAGUCAUACCCAAUGCAUCGGGGCCGAUCAAACUCUUCUGUGACAAUACUGGAGCUAUUGCACUUGCCAAGGAGCCCAGGUUUCACAAGAAGACCAGGCACAUCAAGCGUCGCUUCAACUCCAUUCGUGAAAAUGUUCAAGAUGGAGACAUAGAUAUUUGUAAAGUACAUACGGACCUGAAUGUAGCAGAUCCGUUGACUAAACCUCUCCCUAGAGCAAAACAUGAUCAACACCAGAAUUCCAUGGGUGUUUGAUUCAUCACAAUGUAACUAGAUUAUUGACUCUAGUGCAAGUGGGAGACUGUUGGAAAUAUGCCCUAGAGGCAAUAAUAAAAGGAUUAUUAUUAUAUUUCCUUGUUCAUGAUAAUUGUCUUUUAUUCAUGCUAUAAUUGUGUUAUCUGGAAAUCAUAAUACAUGUGUGAAUACAUAGACACCAACAUGUCCCUAGUAAGCCUCUAGUUGACUAGCUCGUUGAUCAACAGAUAGUCAUGGUUUCCUGACUAUGGACAUUGGAUGUCAUUGAUAAUGAGAUCACAUCAUUAGGAGAAUGAUGUGAUGGACAAGACCCAAUCCUAAACAUAGCACAAGAUCGUAUAGUUCGUUUGCUAGAGUUUUUCCAAUGUCAAGUAUCUUUUCCUUAGACCAUGAGAUUAUGUAACUCCCGGAUACCGUAGGAGUGCUUUGGGUGUACCAAACGUCACAACAUAACUGGGUGACUAUAAAGGUAUACUACGGGUAUCUCCGAAAGUGUCUGUUGGGUUGACACGGAUCAAGACUGGGAUUUGUCACUCCGUAUGACGGAGAGGUAUCUCUGGGCCCACUCGGUAAUGCAUCAUCACAAUGAGCUCAAAGUGACCAAGUGUCUGGUCACGGGAUCAUGCAUUACGGUACGAGUAAAGUGACUUUCCGGUAACGAGAUUGAACGAGGUAUUGGGAUACCGACGAUCGAAUCUCGGGCAAGUAACGUACCGAUUGACAAAGGGAAUUAUAUACGGGGUUGCUUGAAUCCUCGACAUCGUGGUUCAUCCGAUGAGAUCAUCGAGGAGCAUGUGGGAGCCAACAUGGGUAUCCAGAUCCCAUUGUUGGUUAUUGACCGGAGAGCCAUCUCGGUCAUGUCUACAUGUCUCCCGAACCCGUAGGGUCUACACACUUAAGGUUCGGUGACGCUAGGGUUGUAGAGAUAUAAUAUGUAGUAACCCAAAAGUUGUUCGGAGUCCCAGAUGAGAUCCCAGACGUCAGGAGGAGUUCCGGAAUGGUCCGGAGGUGAAGAAUUAUAUAUAGGAAGUGCAGUUUCGGCCAUCGGGAGAGUUUCGGGGGUCACCGAUAUUGUACCGGGACCACCGGAAGGGUCCCAGGGGUCCACCGGGUGGGGCCACCCAUCCCGGAGGGCCCCAUGGGCUAAGUGGGGAGGGGAACCAGCCCAUAGUGUGCUGGUGCGCCCCCCCUUGGCCCAUCCCAUGCGCCUAGGGUGGGAACCCUAGGGUGGGGGGGCGCCCCACCUGGCUUGGGGGGCACUCCACCCCUUGGCCGCCGCCCCCCUAGGAGAUCCCAUCUCCUAGGGCCGGCGCACCCUCUAGGGGGCCUAUAUAUAGGGAGGGGAGGGAGGGGCAGCCGCACCCCUUGAGUCUUGGCGCCUCCCUCUCCUCUGCUACACCUCUCCCUCUUGCAGUAGAACGGCGAAGCCCUGCUGCGGUGACCCCUGCAUCCACCACCACGCCGUCGUGCUGCUGGAUCUUCAUCAACCUCUCCUUCCCCUUGCUGGAUCAAGAAGGAGGAGACAUCACGCUGACCGUACGUGUGUUGAACGCGGAGGUGCCGUCCGUUCGGCGCUAGGAUCUCCGGUGAUUUGGAUCACGUCGAGUAUGACUUCCUCAUCCCCGUUCUUUGAACGCUUCCGCGCGUGAUCUACAAAGGUAUGUAGAUGCAAUCCGAUCACUCGUUGCUAGAUGAACUCAUAGAUGGAUCUUGGUGAAACCGUAGGAAAUUUUUUGUUUUCUGCAACGUUCCCCAAUAGUGGCAUCAUGAGCUAGGUCUAUGUGUAGUUCUCUUUGCACGAGUAGAACACAAUUUGUUGUGGGCGUAGAUGUUGUCAACUUUCUUGCCGCUACUAGUCUUAUUUUGCUUCAGCAGUAUCGUGGGAUGAAGCGGCCAGGACCAACCUUACACGUAUGCUUACGUGAGACCGGUUCCACCGACUAACAUGCACUAGUUGCAUAAGGUGGCUGGCGAGUGUCUGUCUCUCCCACUUUAGUUGGAGCGAAUUCGAUGAAAAGGGUCCUUAUGAAGGGUAAAUAGAAGUUGAUAAAUCACGUUGUGGCUUUCACGUAGGUAAGAAAACGUUCUUGCUAGAACCCUAUUGCAGCCACGUAAAACUUGCAACAACAAUUAGAGGACGUCUAACUUGUUUUUGCAGCAAGUAUUUUGUGAUGUGAUAUGGCCAAAGUUGUGAUGAAUGAUGAAUGAUAUAUAUGUGAUGUAUGAGAUGUUCAUGCUAUUGUAAUAGGAAUCACGACUUGCAUGUCGAUGAGUAUGACAACCGGCAGGAGCCAUAGGAGUUGUCUUUAUUUUUUGUAUGACCUGCGUGUCAUUGAGAAACGCCAUGUAAAUUACUUUACUUUAUUGCUAAACGUGUUAGCCAUAGUAGUAGAAGUAAUAGUUGGCGAGCAACUUCAUGGAGACACGAUGAUGGAGAUCAUGGUGUCAUGCCGGUGACAAGAUGAUCAUGGAGCCCCAAGAUGGAGAUCAAAGGAGCUAUAUGAUAUUGGCCAUAUCAUGUCACUAUUAUUAUUUGAUUGCAUGUGAUGUUUAUCAUGUUUUUGCAUCUUGUUUACUUAGAACGACGGUAGUAAAUAAGAUGAUCCCUCAUAAUAAUUUCAAGAAAGUUUACCCCUGGCCUUCAUCUUUGGCGUGGAUUUUUCUUUAUUUCUUUUAAGACGUUCCGUGGAGUUUCAGGACUUUUGGAGUUGCGCAGAAUAGGUCUCUAAUAUUUGCUCCUUUUCCAGACCAGAAUUCCAGCUGCCGGCAUUCUCCUUCCUUAUGUAAACCUUGUAAAAUAAGAGAGAAUAGCCAUAAGUAUUAUGACAUAAAGUGAAAUAACAGUCCAUAAUGCGAUAAAUAUCGAUAUAAAAGCAUGAUGCAAAAUGGACGUAUCAAUGCCAGACAAAGUUGUCCUCCUGCGCGAGUCCAUCACCGCACAUCGGACGCCGAGUCUCCACUGCGCGUCGCCGCCGAGAUCCACCGCCAUCAGUGUGUAGGAUGAAGCACUGCUCCACCAAAGAUGUUGUCCACCGGCCCCUCAAGUCCCUAUACACCUCCAAGAAUGAUGCCCCUAAGGGGGAGACGACACAAGAGUGACAUCGUCAUCUGAUCUACUAAUUUAGGGUUUCCCCGGAGGUAGCAGACAGUUGUUUGGAACUUCUCAACAGCGAUGCCUUCAAGAAGGAAACGACAUCGAAGAGUGCCGCCAUCGUCAGCCUUGGCAGCUAGCCAAGAGCAGGUUUUCACCCAUAUCUAUUCGAAGAACCUCCAUCAAGCAUCUUGUGCACGGAUCGCCGCCUUAUCUGACGGGGACUAGACGAAAAGGGACCAUACGCCACCGCCUGACCGGCCACGGCACCACCAUGGUGCCUAAGCAGACGCCAUGGUCAGGCCCACCACGCUAGCCCGUCGCUGCAGAACCAAGCCGCCGGCCGGCCACCAUUAUUGCUACCGCUACUCACACCGCCAGGAACCUGCUGCUACUUGCCGCCGGAUCACCGUCGUGAUGUGUGUUACUGCCGCGCGAGGGAGAGUGCCCCGCCGCCGCCGUCAUAGGCCAUAGCACAGGCUUCGCCCGACGUGAUCUUCGACGGCGACUGAUACGUCUCCAACGUAUCUAUAAUUUUUGAUUGUUCCAUGCUAUUAUAUUAUAUGUUUUGGAUGUUUAAUGGGCUUUAAUAUGCUUUUUUAUAUGAUUGUUCCAAGGAAUAUCAAACAGAAUCCAAACGAAACGAAACCUUCGCGCGGAUCUUUCUUGGAACAAACGCAAACCAGGAGACUUGGAGUGGAAGUCCGGAACUCCGUGAGGCGUCCACGAGAUAGGAGGACGCGCCCAGGGGGUAGGCGUGCCCCCACCCUCGUGGGCCCCACAGACUCCACCGACGUACUUCUUUCGCCUAUAUAUACUCUUAUACCCAAAAAACAUCAGGGGGAGCCAUGAAACCAGUUUUUCACCGCCGCAACCUUCUGUACCCGUGAGAUCCCAUCUGGGCCUUUUCCGGCGAUCUGCCGGAGGGGGGUUCAAUCACGGAGGGCUUCUACAUCAACACCAUAGCCUCUCUGAUGAUGUGUGAGUAGUUUGGUGUGCUCCAAUCUUGAUUUGCUGUUGUCCGGUACCCUGCUCAGGCCUGCUCGGAAGAUCAAAUGUGGGAAAUCAUAACUUGUUGUAUCAUCUUGCAUAACAUGAUCAUCGAGAGCGAGCAGGAAGAGCCAAUGCUUGAUACUGAACCAUACUACAAGCAGGGUCCUCUAGCCGAAGUUGAUCACCAGCUACCGGAAAUCUGGACAGCCUACCUCACUAUGCGUCAGGAGAUCCGAGACCCACAGGUGCAUCAUCAACGGCCUAUGGAGGAUCCGAGACCUGGAUCUGGUGAAGCACCUAUGGAGAAUCAAGGGCGACGCCGGGCUCGACGUGUGAUGAAAUAUGAGUUUUUAUUUGUUGAACUAUAUAAUUUGUAUUAAACUAUUUGUUGUUGCACUAUUUUGUUGAACUAUUUGUUUUUCUGUGAUGAACUAUGUGAUAAAAAUAUUAUUUAUGUUGAGAAUUCAAUGCCGAACCACGCCGAAUAUGAACCGUUUCUCACCGAUAUUGGACCAUUUUUCUAUUUAUCUGGGCCGAAAAGCGGCCACGAAUGGCCCGAUAUCGGCGCCUGGGGCCGACCUGGGAACGACGGCUGGAUGCCCAACCGCCCCCAACGCUGAUUUAGCUGUCGGCUCGCUCCCAGGCGGCGAUUUUUGUGCUUUCUGAGAGGGCCAACAGAUGGAGAUGCUCUAGUCAUGUGAAGCUGGAACAUGCGUCGCUCUUCCUCAGCUGAGAUGCAGAGGAUGGAAAACCAUCAAACCCAAAAUUCCCGCCACGAAGAGAGUUUGAUCUCCCCGCCCAAGUUUUGGCCACGUCAUCGAUCCGCGCCGAAGCUCAUCAGGGCCGUCCAUCAGAAGCAGCAGCGAGCGGCUGAUAUCCGUCGAUAGACCACCCGACGUCACCGAUCCGGGGCACCAACCCCUCCUCCAAUCAGAGUCCACCUCCUCCUCUCCAUAAAUAAAGCCGCCGCGCCCUCCCCAUCCCAUCACCAACCAGCAAUCCAAUUCCCCACCACCAGUCCCCUCGCACCCUCCGGCGAACCACCGCACCUCUCCCCGGCGAAGCAACAGCGUCCGAUGGCUCCCAAGGCGGAGAAGAAGCCGGCUGCCGCUGAGAAGACCCCGGCGGCGGAGAAGACCACGGCGGGGAAGAAGCCCAAGGCCGAGAAGCGGCCGCCCAAGUCCAAGGAGGGCGGCGCCGACAAAAAGAAGAAGAAGGCCAAGAAGAGCGUGGAGACGUACAAGAUCUACAUCUUCAAGGUGCUGAAGCAGGUGCACCCGGACAUCGGCAUCUCCUCCAAGGCCAUGUCCAUCAUGAACUCCUUCAUCAACGACAUCUUCGAGAAGCUGGCCGGCGAGUCGGCCAAGCUCGCCCGCUACAACAAGAAGCCCACCAUCACGUCCCGGGAGAUCCAGACCUCCGUCCGCCUCGUCCUCCCCGGGGAGCUCGCCAAGCACGCCGUCUCCGAGGGCACCAAGGCCGUCACCAAGUUCACCUCCUCUUAGAUACGCCGUUCCCUGUCUUCUUGGUCGGUCGAUGCUUCUCUCUGUAAUGGUUAGCUGUUCGGGCUAUGUCCCUGUGUAACUUGUGCUGGUGUUGUGGCAUCACACUGUUUCAGUAUCUCGUGAAAUAGUAACGAUGGUUAUUUAUUCUGUCUAUCAUGUUCAGUUCUCACCGUGAUAUCCCUUUUCUUGAGUAGUUCUUGCUAUGAUCCUGUUCCUGAGUCCAUCUUGAUUUGGCUUGUUAUGCAACCUUUGUUCUGAAUUAUGAAUUAUGAUACGGUUUGGGCCGAAUUCGAUGGUUUGGGUUUUGCAAAAGGACACCAACCAUUCGGCCAG